UAAAAUACACCCUAUACUAUAUAUAACAUUAAAAGUCUAAUAUUAUAUCUGUAUGAGUAAACAGUCAGUCUUACCGUUAGUAGGCCUCAUUCACGAAGCUGGUCUAUAAGGGGUGUUUAAGGAAAUUGCCUAUAAAAUGGCGAUUGAAUGGGUAUCCACUCUUACCCACCGCACUCUUGACUAGUGGAGGGUCGUUAGCCGAACGGGUAGGAUAAGACAGAAACCUUCCAUUAUAAGUGUAAUGAAGUACAAAAGUAACUAAAUGCUUUUACAAAAUUCCCAAUCUUAUUUACUUUAGGCAAAAGUGAAUUGAUGCAAUUCCAUGAAAUUACAAUUUCUGGCUUUGUGAAGACGUUAGUAGAGCGUGUGUGGUUAACCGGCACAAUAAAUGGUUCUAACCAAAGGUAGCAAAGGGUGAAUCAUUGUUUGUCAUAGUUUGGUGGAGCGUGUGUGGUUAACCGGCAUAUCGAAUAGGUAACUGUAACAUUUGGGGGCACCAUGUAAGUUUGCAUGGUUAUUCACUCCUUGUUUUGUGAGCGUCGGCAUCCCAGUCACAAAUCGAGGGGCAUAUCGAGAUUUAAACAUGCCGUUGAAAAGAUCAAUGGAUCUCAAAGGAUCUAGGAAUUUUCAAUAGAUUUAAAACUUAAAUUUCUUUUUCAUUUUUCAUGGUGGAAAUUGGUAAAUCGUCAUUUACCUCCCUUCAAAUAUUCUGCAACUAGAUUACUGCAUCCCUCUUCUAGGUUGUGGAGUAUUGUGUUGGAUCCUAUCGUCGAUGUUUCAUUUGGGUGUCACAUCAAGGAUCCUAAUCAACUUACCUUGAAUUUUCUCCCGUUUUGUAGAUGUCAAAGUAUGACAACUAUGGUCCUCCCAAAUCCCGUUAAAGAAGCUUUCCACAUGAAGAUGAUAUUCCAUGAUUCGAUCGGGGAACAAGAGAUCAUGCUUCACUUCCUCCGCCUUCUUCAAUUAUUCUCCCUAACCCACAAGUUCGAAGGCUUGAAAAGUUCAAGCUCACUCAAGUCCUUUUGGCAAGUAAACAUGGGAAACCUGUGUAUACACGUCUUAGAGAUGAAGUCACACAUUGAUAGGUUAAGGAUGUUGGGUGUCGAGAUUUCAAGUAAGUUGGCUAUUGACUGCGUUCUUUAGUCGCUUCCUUAAUCAUAUAGUGAGUUCGUUAAAGAGUACUAUACGAUGGAUCAUGACGUGACCCUCAUUGAUUUGACCUAUUUGCUUAUAGCUGCUGAAUCAACAAUGAUUUGGCGAGCUGGUCGAGCAAAUUUGUCUGGUGAAUCAAACUCCCAAACUUCAAUGGACAUUGAAAAUGGUGACAUUGGAGUUCCAAAAAAGGUAAAUUCUGAGAUAGUUCCUUGUGCCGUUCCAAAAGAGUCCAUUUGCUGUUAUUGCCAAAAGAAGGGGCAUUGGAGCCGAAGCUGCCCUAUUUACCUAACAGAUCUAACAGAUGGGAGAGUCAAAACGUAUGGCUCUACUUUAGGUAAAAUCCAUUAACUAACUCUUUUAAGUUCCUAUUCUAGAUUCUUAUUACAUGAUGUGAUAAGAUUACAUUGAUGUUUUGUAGGAUCGAAGAAAAUAAAGGAGGCUUAAGGGAAGAAAUGACCCGAAUCUAAUCGUGAAGAAAUGGAUUUCGAUCGCAUUCCUUGAAGAUUAGAUUCUUGAGCUACUACUUAGAGUUAGAAUAUAUUGCUAAGAAAUAUGUAUUAACAUAGAUUUUCAAUUGAAUUGCAUUGUAAGGACAAAUUUUUCCGCAAUAAAAUAAAUUUUGAUUUUAUAUUAUUUAUUUAUCCUUACAAUGGAGCGUAUGAAAAAUUGAUGUUUGUGUACUUCUAUUAUUAGCAAAAUGGAUUUGAUUCUUAAUUAGGUUAUUUGUGGAAGUGUCAAGAAUUUACCAAAUAGGGAGAGUUUCUCAUCGCCCAAGUUUUAAGUGGGUAGAAACUUGGAAUCAUGCAACGAGUAUUGUAUGAUGAAUGAAAAACUCACAUUUGGGAAAUUUAGACUAAUUCUUUGACAAAGUGUGAAUUGAAGGACUAGGAGAUCGAGUACACUAGUUCGUACGUUGAUCAAGUCUACCACAAGAGUGACAAAGAUAUUCAUCAUGAUUUACUAAAUUUUAGUAAAUAUGGUUAUACUUAUAAGAUUGAGUAUAAUUCUGAGUUGAUUGAAAGAGUUUCAAUCAAUAGCAUAACGAAUAAGAAGAAUUAAGUAGGCAGAAAGAUAAAAGUUGCUCUAUUCUUAGAAGAAGGGAGAGUACCUUUUAUUGUGAUUUAUGAUAAGUAUUAAUGAUUAAGUAUCAUGUCUCAGUUUAUCCUCUAAGUGAGUCUUAGUGCAAUUGUAUGUCUAAGAAGAGGAAUCAAGAAUUGAAGAAAUGGUUAAAUCAAUAAGUCAAUUAUACUUCGUUCCAAUAUCAAGUCUUAGAUUUAUACUCCGAGAUUGUGAAAAUGAGUGACAAGUCUCAAGAAGGUUUAUAACACUUGACAAAUUUGGAAUUUGGAAAAGUUUUCUUAUUCUUGCACCAUUGAAAUUGGUAAGUUGUGUUGUCUUGGAUAAGACAAAGACCAACUAGGACCAAUUAUGUGAAGUGUUUUGUCUUGAUAAGAACUACACUAAGUCUUGAAUAUUUUUUUUGUCAAGGAAUGUUUCUUGACAAGAGAAUCUUAUAUGUCAAGGAGUCAGUGGGAGUCUUAAUGGUCUUGAAAGGUUUCAAAACAAAUCAAGAAUAAACCUUAUCGAUCAUCACUAGCACACGACUUGAGGUUUAUAACCUAUCGUGUUGUCGUUAUUUUGUUUCUGUGCCAUUCCAAUUGAUUUAAUUAUGCAUGUGAGUUCUAUGAGUUCUCAUUUGAACGAAUAAAAGGCAAGCACCUUGAUCAAUAAAAAGUACAUUGAUAGGAAAGGGUGAGCUACUUAACUACUUGGAAGAAAUAGUGGGCACCCGUGUUACCAUAUGGCAAGAGAUCAAGAUUGAGAAAGUUCGAUCCAUAUGAGUUUGGAUUUGUCGCAAACUCUAGUUUUGGCAAAUUCGCAUGGAUAGGAACACAUACACCAUAAAAAUCUAAGUGUCAUAAGAUUCCCACCUUCAUGAAAAUGACUGUGAGGAAAUGCUUUCACUAAGAGAGAUUUCAAGAAGAUAGUGAUUGUGAAAAUUAUAUUCUCGAAUUCGAUUAUGGUUACGGUAUCCCUUUCCAUAAUUCGAAUUGUGAGAUUUGGCAAUUAGUUUGAAUUGUUUAGAAACACAUAUGCACUAUCUAAAGCAAAGGUGUAUAAGUUUAAGAAGCUUUGAUAAAGGAUUAUCAAAGCAUUUGGUAUUAGAAAUAUGAACUUAAGAAAUUCAAUAGGUAUUAUUUUCUGGAAGUUAAGUUGUUUUCUAAAUACAUGUCAAAGCUAGUGGGAGCAUAAGUGUUAUAUGAUAAUAAUCAUCAUGAUAGUGGGAGCAUAAUUGUUAUGCUUGUAUGAUUAUUAUGGCAAGUAUUGCAAGUUAGCAAUAUUAAUUAUAGAAAACAAGAGUUAUACAUUGCAAAUUCGUGAAGGGUUGAAAAGUUGUUUUGCUAUAAUUAAGGGAGAGAAUAUUAUACUUCGUUUCAAAAUCUAAAGCUUAGAUUGAGAAAUUUUAAUAAAUUUAGUCAAAGGAUACAUAGUGUGUUCUUAAAUUUCGAUUAUGAUUACGGUAUCCCUCUUCAUAGUUCGAAUUGUAAGAAUGUGACACAUAAAAUAUUAUGGCAGGAGAUUGAAAAAGUAUCGUAUCUUUAUGUAAGACAUUAUGCAUCGUGUCCCAUACGCUUCGGGUAUAGGAUUGAUUGCAAGUGAUAUUAUAUUUGACCAUUCUAAAAUUUUCCAAAUGUCUAGCACAUUUAGAGGGACAAAGGACAAUAAUCGGUUUUGACAAAGAUAAGUAAACAACUAUCAAAGGACGAUCCAAAGCUCGCUGAGGAUUGGUCGCUUGUGAGUGGUUAGAAGUAUGGUAUUGGAUGGGCCCUAUUGACAUUAUUAUGAAUAGAUAAGAUUCUAUUAAGAAUGAGUUGUCAUAUGGAAAAUAUGGAAAUGUUUCCAUAUUGGGAGUUGGAUAUUGAGAGUCUAUAUCUAGAUUAGAAAAUUUUAUGCAAGAAGGAUGUUCAAAGGAAUGUACUUUGAGUGAGAGACAUCAUGUCUAUGGAAUUGUCUUGUAACAAUCUCCAAUAGAGGACCUUGUAAUUUCAUUGGCAAUAGUCAUUGUGACUUUUGUGCUAUGACAUUACAAAAGGAUCGUUGCAUAAAAUGUUAGAAUCUAGAAUAUUCUAAUAAUGGCAAGAACAAUUUGUUCUUACACUUAUGAUAAGGACUGGGAGAUGUGAAAUGAAUAUAAUUGGAAAUGUGUUCAUUUGAUCUAUUUCACAAAAUAAGGACGAUAGGUAAACAUUGUGUGCAUGCUAAGAGCAUCGGACAAGUAUAGUAAUAAUUCAUGUAAUAAGUUAAUUAACAGAAACAACAAAUAAUGAGUAAUCGAUAUGGUGAUGAAUAAAAGGUGUUUUAUUUAUACUCAAACGUUUGGGACCAUAUAGGAUUAGUAUUAUUCGUGUGUUUCACUUUUCGUGUUUUGACUUACUGAAUAAUUAAUUAUUUCAGAAUAAUCGAAUUAUUCGAAUGGUCCACAGUCGUUCAUAUGUUGGAAGUAGGUAUGAAUGAAGACUGUCAUGAAUUGGUUUGUAGAUUUUCUAAAGUGUAUUAGACAUAGCAAAGGUUUGCUGCAACGUUCAUGAGUGCUUAUGAAUAUGACUUUGAGCAUUGGAUUAAACCAACACUCACAAGAAUCACUUCAUGGAUUUUGUUAUUUGCUGGUCGGUUGCACAUUGAUAAUAAGUAAACAUACCAGUAACUCGGUGUCAUAAAACUUAUUUGUCACACCCCGAAAACCGGAGGCGGAAACAUUUUCGAGGUUGACUCCAUGUUGAGUAUCAAAUCCAAUGUACAUAGUAAGUAAAGUGAAACAAACAUUACAUUACAUAAUAAAAGUUUUACAAUUUGUUACAAAAGACGCAGUUUAUACAGUUGUGAUACAUAGUAUAGAUAUUAACAAAACGAACGAGCUUAGCACGCACACCAUUCCUGGAUCAAGUAAGUCUUCGGGUACCUGUACUAUCGUUGACCUGAGAACACAAGCGAUUUAAAAAUCAGCAUAACGCUGGUGAGUUCAUAAGUAGUUUUGUUUUGUGAAAUUGUUUAUGUUUCCUUUCUGUUUCUGAAAAUGUAACACACGCCAAGAAAAUCCCGCAUUUUCUUAAAAAUUGGUUGUUGUUUCAUAAAAGUAAAGUAUAGCUUGGUUAUGCAAUUCGUUGUUCUAUUCCGUUUAUGAACCAGUGUAUUCCCAGGAAAGUCCCAUACUUUCCUGAAUGUUAGUUAUUGUAAAAGAUGUAAUGUUAUUCAUUUUAUCACACUUUUCUGGUUGUAUGUAUGUUACCCAGGAAUGCCCCAUGUGUUCCUGUAUGUUGGUUUUANAUUUCAAUGUGAAAGAUGUAUUCUACUAGACCUGGUUAUGUAUGAGGUUUCCCAGGAAGGUCCCAUACCUUCCUGAAUGUAGGUUAUCUUAUGUAAAAAAAUGUAAAAGAUGUAAAAGAUGUAAAAGAUGUGAAAGAUGUAAACCGAAACCUGGUUAUCUGUAAAAUGUAAUAAGUGGUUCAUUAUUACUAUAAGUAAAUUUCUAUUAUCCUGGUUGCGAGUUCCAUAACCAUACUAAAGACUGAACCUGUGGCAAUAAGUAGUCCACAAUCUUGUGGCAAUAAGUAGUCCACAAUUCUUAUGACUUUCGUCACACUUGAGAGAGAUUACUAGGCACGCAAAUCNNNNNNNNNNNNNNNNNNNNNNNNNNNNNNNNNNNNNNNNNNNNNNNNNNNNNNNNNNNNNNNNNNNNNNNNNNNNNNNNNNNNNNNNNNNNNNNNNNNNNNNNNNNNNNNNNNNNNNNNNNNNNNNNNNNNNNNNNNNNNNNNNNNNNNNNNNNNNNNNNNNNNNNNNNNNNNNNNNNNNNNNNNNNNNNNNNNNNNNNNNNNNNNNNNNNNNNNNNNNNNNNNNNNNNNNNNNNNNNNNNNNNNNNNNNNNNNNNNNNNNNNNNNNNNNNNNNNNNNNNNNNNNNNNNNNNNNNNNNNNNNNNNNNNNNNNNNNNNNNNNNNNNNNNNNNNNNNNNNNNNNNNNNNNNNNNNNNNNNNNNNNNNNNNNNNNNNNNNNNNNNNNNNNNNNNNNNNNNNNNNNNNNNNNNNNNNNNNNNNNNNNNNNNNNNNNNNNNNNNNNNNNNNNNNNNNNNNNNNNNNNNNNNNNNNNNNNNNNNNNNNNNNNNNNNNNNNNNNNNNNNNNNNNNNNNNNNNNNNNNNNNNNNNNNNNNNNNNNNNNNNNNNNNNNNNNNNNNNNNNNNNNNNNNNNNNNNNNNNNNNNNNNNNNNNNNNNNNNNNNNNNNNNNNNNNNNNNNNNNNNNNNNNNNNNNNNNNNNNNNNNNNNNNNNNNNNNNNNNNNNNNNNNNNNNNNNNNNNNNNNNNNNNNNNNNNNNNNNNNNNNNNNNNNNNNNNNNNNNNNNNNNNNNNNNNNNNNNNNNNNNNNNNNNNNNNNNNNNNNNNNNNNNNNNNNNNNNNNNNNNNNNNNNNNNNNNNNNNNNNNNNNNNNNNNNNNNNNNNNNNNNNNNNNNNNNNNNNNNNNNNNNNNNNNNNNNNNNNNNNNNNNNNNNNNNNNNNNNNNNGAAUGGAUUUCUAAAAUGCCUUGGAAUGGAUUACAUGAGUUUAUACCACUUGGAAGGGAGUUUACGGCCACAACCUUGGAGUUUACGGCCGUAAACUCACCCAUAGCCAAGAAAAUUUGAUUUAAACUACAAAGGAUAAUCACAUGUGAUUCUAACUAAUUAUCUAAGGCUUGGUAUCAACUUGUGGCUUCAUUUAACAUCUUUAUAUGAGUUUACGGCCCAGAUGCACACUCUCUGGCCGUAAACUCUAAUAUGGGUAAGAAACAUUUAGUUUUUGAUGUUUAAAACAAUCACAUGUGAUUCUAGGAAUUUAUCUAAGCCUUUGGGGUGGUUUAAGGCAUCAUUUGACACACUUAUAGGAGUUUACGGCCCAGGAGGAGUUCUAUGGCCGUAAACUCACUUAUGUAGGUCAUUUGGUGUGUUUAAGGUCUCUAAACCAAUUUUAGAUGAUUCUAGGAUUUACCACAAGGCCAUUGGUUGAGUUUCAAGGCAUUUGGACAUGUUUAAAGGCACUAAAUCCCCAUUUAAGAGGAGUUUACGGCCCAAGAAGGAGCCUUAGCCGUAAACUCUCUUUUGUCCCCUAUAAUUCAUGUUUAAUGUGUUCCAAGUAUAGAUUUGCAAGCCUCAAGGUCAUAUCUAUGUCCCAAUUAUGAUUUGGAAGGGUAAAUUUUGCUUAAAAACCCCAUUUAGUGGAGUUUACGGCCCAAGCUUGCUCCUUGGCCGUAAACUCAUGUUCUUGGUCCCAAAACUUAAGUAAAUCAUCAAAUUGAAGGCUAAAGAGGCUGAAUACAAAGCUAGGGAGGUUACCUCAAAGAUUUGAAGCCUUAAACUUGAGAUUUGGACCUUAAUUCUAGCUUGAGGAGAGAGGUUGGGAGAGUUUAUUGAGAAAAUGGCCAAAGGCUUCAAAUGGAGUCUUAAAACACUUUAUAUAGUGUUCGGGAAUUGGACACGACGGAAUUCUACCCGAUACCGACGUUAGGCGAGGCUUUUGGUCGUACUCGUUUAUGUUGCCGUAACCCGAUACGGUAAAUUCUAGGAAUAUUACAAUCACUAAAGUGGGGUGUUAAAAAUGAUUUCUAAAUGUAUUAAGACACCCAUUAAGUCGUUUUAGGUAUAUACAAGUUAAUGACUUAAUUAAAAUGGUGAAAUCCGAAACAAAAUUGGAAACGACGUUUGGUUGAUCAAAUUAGAUUACAAGAAGUGAUAUGAAAUUUCGGGUUGUUACAUUAUCCCCCCAUUAGAGGGAAUUUCGUCCCGAAAUUUAAGACAAGAUACAAGUCCAAAACAAAUCAUGGACCUGGAAAGAGUUGUGGAUACUUCUGUUUUAUCGAGUCUUCUCGCUCCCAAGUGAACUCCGGUCCCUGCUUGGCAUUCCAGCGAACCUUCACCAACGGGAUGCGACUUUGUUUCGUACGUUUGACUUCACGAUCCAUGAUUUCGAUUGGUUCCUCCACGAAGUUGAUGUUUUCAUCGAUCUCAAUCUCGUCUAACGGAAUCACUAGGGUUUCAUCGGAUAGGCACUUCUUGAGGUUUGAAACAUGGAAGACGGGAUGGAUGUUACUGAGUUCGUGAGGUAAGUGAAGCUUAUAGGCUACCGGACCAACCCUGGCGAGGAUCUCAAAAGGUCCAAUGUACCUCGGAUUAAGUUUCCCACGCUUACCGAAGCGUACAGUGCCUUUCCAGGGCGAGACCUUCAACAGAACACGGUCUCCAACCUGGAAUUCUAGUGGUUUCCGACGAUUAUCAGCGUAACUCUUCUGGCGAUCGCGCGAGGCCUUCAGUCGUUCACGGAUUUGGAUAAUCUUUUCGGUGGUUUCAAGGAUGAUUUUAGGACCAGUAGCAGCACUAUCGGGGACUCGACUCUUGGCUAACUGUGUAUCUCCCACCUCGGCCCAACACAGAGGGGAUCUGCACUUACGACCGUAUAGGGCUUCGAACGGGGCAGCCCUAAUGCUGGUCUGGUAACUAUUGUUGUACGAGAAUUCAAUCAAAGGUAGAUGUGCGUCCCACGACUUUCCAAAGUCAAUGACACAUGCCCUAAGCAUGUCCUCCAGAGUUUGGAUUGUUCUCUCACUUUGUCCGUUGGUCUGAGGAUGAUAUGCCGUGCUCAUGUCUAAUUUGGUUCCAAGAGCUUUCUGAAGAGAAUGCCAAAAUCGGGAGGUAAACCUGCUAUCUCGAGCAGAGAUAAUGGAUGCAGGUACACCGUGCAGUCGGACUAUCUCCUGGAUAUAAAUCCGCGCGAGUCUUUCCAUCUUGAAUGAUUCUUUGAUCGGAACGAAGUGAGCUGACUUUGUCAAACGAUCGACAAUCACCCAAAUGGUAUCAUACCCAUUCGAGCACUUGUGUAGUUUGGUGAUGAAAUCCAUGGUAAUCAUCUCUCAUUUCCAUUCGGGUAUCUCGGGUUGCUGGAGCAGACCCGAGGGUUUCUGGUGCUCAACUUUUACCUUGGCGCAAGUCAAACACUUGCCCACAAACGUAGCUAUCACAACCUUCAUGUUUGGCCACCAAUAUUGUUUCUUGAGAUCUAAGUACAUCUUGUCAGAGCCCGGGUGAACAGAGUAUCUGGUUUUGUGUGCUUCCUCCAUAACUAUUUCUUUGAAUCCUCUGAACUUAGGAAUCCAAAUCCGAUCCAUGAAACAGUGGAUUCCAUCACCUCUGAUCUCAAGUUUCUUUUCCAUUCCUCUUAAGGCUUCGGUCGGCAUGUUCUCGGGUUUGAGGGCUUCUAAUUGUGCUUCUCGGAUUUGUAUGGGUAGGUUGGAAUGAAUGGUCAUUGUUUGGUUCUUCACUUUACGACCUGCACUCUCCUUCCGGCUAAGGGCAUCUGCUACCACAUUGGCCUUGCCGGGAUGGUAACGAAUUUCACACUCAUAAUCACUAAGUAGCUCCACCCAUCGCCGUUGUCUCAUGUUCAAAUCUUUCUGGUCAAAGAUGUGUUGCAGGCUUUUGUGGUCAGUGAUGAUUGUGCACUUGGUUCCGUAGAGGUAAUGUCUCCAAAUCUUCAAUGCAAAGACUACAGCUCCUAGCUCCAAGUCGUGUGUAGUAUAGUUGACCUUGUGUGCUUUCAACUGCCUAGAAGCAUAGGCAAUUACUUUCCCCCUUUGCAUAAGCACACAGCCUAAACCUUGAUUAGACGCAUCGCAGUAGAAACCGAAAUCCUCUGUCCCUUCGGGUAGGGACAGAAUAGUUGCGCUGCACAAGGCUCUUUUCAGCGUCUGAAAUGCAGUUUCUUGUUUAUCACCCCAACAAAAGGGUACACCUUUCUGUGUUAGAGUGGUUAGAGGUUUGGCGAUUCUGGAAAAGUUUUGGAUGAAUCUUCGAUAAUAGCCAGCGAGACCCAAGAAUUGCUGGAUUUAUGUGGGUGUCUUCGAUGCUGACCAAUUCUCUAUCGCCUUUGUCUUGGAAGGAUGUACAUGAAUACCCUCCUCGCUUACCACAUGACCGAGGAAAGUUACCUUCGGAAUCCAAAACUCGUAGUUGGAAAAUUUCGCGUACAACUUCUCGGAUCGAAGGGUCUCCAACACUAGCCUCAAGUGUUGUUUGUGGUCUUCUUCGCUUCGGGAAUAGACGAGUAUGUCAUCGAUGAAUACAAUGACAAACUUAUCCAGAUAAGGACGACACACCCGGUUCAUCAGGUACAUGAACACUGCCGGUGCGUUGGUUAGACCAAAGGGCAUCACUACGAACUCAUAGUGUCCAUAUCGAGUCCUGAAAGUUGUUUUGGACACAUCACUUUCAUGAACUCGUAGCUGAUGGUACCCUGAUCGAAGGUCUAUCUUGGAGAAGUAACGGGCUCCCUAAAGUUGAUCGAAGAGGUCGUCUAUUCGCGGAAGAGGGUAUCGAUUUUUGAUAGUCAACUUGUUCAGCUCGCGAUAAUCGAUGCACAUACGAAAGGAUCCAUCUUUCUUCUUGACAAAUAGAAUCGGAGCUCCCCAGGGCGAGGAACUCGGUCGAAUGAAUCCUUUACUGAGCAACUCGUUGAGUUGACUGGAUAACUCCUGCAUCUCUGCUGGAGCUAAACGAUACAGAGAUUUUGCUACGGGAGUAUCUCCAGGAAUUAGGUCAAUACGGAACUCGACCUGACGCUCGGGAGGGAUUCCUGGAAGCUCUUCGGGAAACACAUCAGGAAAGUUACAGACUUCGGGGAUGCUCGCGAGGUCUUUAACUUCCUGCUUCUCAUUGAUUACAUGGGCCAAGAAUGCAAUACACUCCUUUCGCAGGAGUUUCUGAGCUUUGAUGCAGGAAAUGAUACGAAGGUUGGAACUGAGUUUAUCACCAUAUAUUACUAGAGUUUGACCCGAAGGAAGGUUGAGACGGAUGGCUUUUUCGAAACAAAGGAUAUCCGCAUGAUUGGGACUCAACCAAUCCAUGCCAAUGAUGACAUCAAAGCUCUUUAUGGAUACUGGCAUAAGAUCGAUAGGAAAUGAAUGAUUGUUCAGGGUAAGGGUACAACUACGAACACCUCACUAGCACUUUCUUUCUCUCCGUUUGCCAUCUCGACAGUAAAUAUUUCGGUUAAAGGUUGAGAAUUAUGCUUAAGGUUAUGUUUAAAUGCAUGACUAAUAAAACUCUUCUCAGCACCCGAAUCGAAAAGAAUAUUAGCAUACGAGUUGUUGAGAAGGAACAUACCCGAGACAACAGUGGGAUCAGCGACCGCUUCCUCCCGUCCCAUGGCGAGUACUCUUCCGGUAUUGUCAGCAGUAGUCUUCUUAGGGCAGUUCCUUUUAAAGUGCCCGGCUUCACCACAGUUAUAACAGGCUUGACCGACGCCUGUUCCAGAGGAUUGAUUGGCCGAUUGGGCCGGAGCUUUGCAGAAUCGCACGGUGUGCCCCUUUUUACCACAAUUGGUACAGGAUAGUUCUCGACAAGGACCAGGCUUGUGGUGAUACUUUCACUUUUCACAGAGAGGGAGAUUACCAACAUACCGGCGGGUAGGAGUUGGAGCUGUGGAUCCCACAAUAGAGGCAGUAGCAACGGUUGUAGUAGCAGCAUGGACUGCUACUGUUUACUGUCUUUUGGAGGAUCCUUGAGAAGGUUGACCCUUCUUCUUCUUCCAGAAUUUCCUUUUCUCACCACUGCUUUUAGUCGACCCAGGGGUAGUAGUGGUGGCUUCCUCAACAUCAUCACUGUGGUGAAUUAUGGCUUGGGCUAAUGUUUUAGCACUAUCAUAAGUAUCCGGGCGAGCACCUAAGCCAUGACCUUUUGUCGGAUUGGUUAGCCCCCAAAUAAACCUCUCGAUCUUUUUGCUUUCAGGGGUGACUAGACCAGGGCAAAGUAGGGCAAGAUCAUCAAAUCGGAAAGUGUAGGUAGCAAUGUCGGAACCUUUCAUCUUCAGGUUCCGGAGCUCGUGCUCUAGCUUCUACAUUUCACCACGGGGACAGUAUUCGGCAAUAAGGAGUUAUUUCAUGGCGUCCCAGCCCAUGGCAUUGGCUACGGGUAAGGUCAAGGAUUUGACUCGGCCGUUCCACCAAGUCAAGGCUUUAUCGAGGAAGGUACAAGCCGCAAAUUUAACCUUGUCGGACUCAGCACAGGCACAAAUUUCGAAAAUGGAUUCGAUUUUCUCGAACCAUCGGGACAAGGAAAUGACACCACCAGUGCCAUCGAAGAAUGAAGGCUUCGCAUUCAUGAAAUCCUUGUAGGAACUUCGAUGUCCCUGAUUGCCUUCUUGGUCUUGAGUACCACCUCCUGAACUACCGGAACCACCGGUGUUCAAUUGGGACAUGGCAGCUGUCACCGCAGCGGUAACAGCUGUCUGAAAUAAUACGAGAUCAAUUUCAGGAGGAGGUGGUGGCGGAGGGUUUGAGUUGGGUCUCUUCCUUGGAGGCAUCUUGAUCUAAUAAGAUCAAGAAAGAGAGGAUAAUAAGUCCUCUGAAUUGAAUCAAGAGAUAUGACAGAUAUUUAUUCCUUAUAAGCGAUAAAACAGGAAAAAGUUAUUGAAGCAAGUAAACUAUCGCUAACAGAAUGAUCAGGGGUCUAUACGUGUAUGAUGAUUCGAGAAAUACUCCCAUAGUAUUUCAUGAUUCGCUACGAUACUGGCUCGAUGUUGGUGGUAUUAGGGUAAGUUUAGGCAUGCCGCAUACCACAGUCACUCCCAAGCACAUGUUGGCUGUGUCUCGAAUGAAUAUAGUUGGCCAGUCUAUAUUGACCCUAAACAUGACUACAUAACUGCUCAGGUUUAACCGCAGUACACAACACCCAUUUACUUAUGUUUUGUUCUACUUAUAGUUAAGGAUCUCGACGGUUCGGUAUACUUGUAUACUUUUAAAAAAAAGACUUGUAGUUUGAAAAUACUUUUAAUUCAGAGCACUGAGGCCCUUUAGUGUUUAUAGUCUUAUACCAUGUAAGAUUUGGUAUACUUUAUUCACUAUAAACAAGGGCUCUGAUACCAAUCUUUCACACCCCGAAAACCGAAGGCGGAAACAUUUCCGGGGUUGACUCCAUGUUGAGUAUCAAAUCCAAUGUACAUAGUAAGUAAAGUGAAACAAACAUUACAUUACAUAAUAAAAGUUUUACAAUUUGUUACAAAAGACACAGUUUAUACAGUUGUGAUACAUANNNNNNNNNNNNNNNNNNNNNNNNNNNNNNNNNNNNNNNNNNNNNNNNNNNNNNNNNNNNNNNNNNNNNNNNNNNNNNNNNNNNNNNNNNNNNNNNNNNNNNNNNNNNNNNNNNNNNNNNNNNNNNNNNNNNNNNNNNNNNNNNNNNNNNNNNNNNNNNNNNNNNNNNNNNNNNNNNNNNNNNNNNNNNNNNNNNNNNNNNNNNNNNNNNNNNNNNNNNNNNNNNNNNNNNNNNNNNNNNNNNNNNNNNNNNNNNNNNNNNNNNNNNNNNNNNNNNNNNNNNNNNNNNNNNNNNNNNNNNNNNNNNNNNNNNNNNNNNNNNNNNNNNNNNNNNNNNNNNNNNNNNNNNNNNNNNNNNNNNNNNNNNNNNNNNNNNNNNNNNNNNNNNNNNNNNNNNNNNNCCCAUGCUUCCCUGUAUGUUGGUUUUCGAUGUGAAAGAUGUAUUCUGCUAGACCUGGUUAUGUAUGAGGUUUCCCAGUAAGGUCCCAUACCUUCCUGAAUGUUGGUUAUCUUAUGUAAAAAAAAUGUAAAAGAUGUAAAAGAUGUGAAAGAUGUAAACAGAAACCUGGUUAUCUAUAAACUGUAAUAAGUGGUUCAUUAUUACUAUAAGUAAAUUUCUAUUAUCCUAGUUGCGAGUUCCAUAACCGUACUAAAGACUGAACUUGUGGCAAUAAGUAGUCCACAAUCUUGUGGCAAUAAGUAGUCCAUAAUUCUUAUGACUUCCGUCACCCUUGAACCAUUUCGGUUCGGCUGUAGCUACCAUCCAGGUGUGGGGUAGUCGGCCCCGUAUAGAUCUAUACACUAAAGUCACGCUCUCUAAAUCCCAGAGAUUCUGGUUACGGGUGUAGUCCUCCACUUGCGUAUCUCUAUGGAGUGUUCGCCGAGGACAUGUCUCCACUCAUACAGGAAUAACAAAUUUGCUAGUAAUAAUAUGAUAAUCCUCCAUUCGCGUGUCUAUGUGGAAUGUUACCGAGGACAAAACAGUGUACAUAUUAUAUCGUUCAUGUGUUCUAAUGUCAUGCUUUCAACUGAUAAAAAUAUGGAAAACCAUUUGUGAAAUAUAUAAAACAUAACAGUUUAUAAAACCCAUUUCACAAAUAAAUGUUUAUGUGAUUUGCAUGUUCUACUGGUUAUCAGUUGUGUAUAUCAGUAUUAAAAGCGUAUGAAUUGUGAAACACACACACACAAAAUAAUUUUUGAGUACAAGAACCCUUGUACUUUGCUUCUGUUCCCCCCUGAAAACGGUGAAAACAAUGAAAAAGGGUAGGGGUAUGAACUCACCAGACUCAGGAAUCGCAACUGAUUCGGAUACUAAGCGUGGGUUCGGGGCCAGAUUACUCGCGAUGUCCCUAUGUAGAAUGUAAUAAUGUCCAUAUAAUACUAAUUAGAUUUAUACUCACUAAUUAUAUGACACAUUACACUCCAACGAGGUUAAACACCUCAAAACGAGCGUUUGGAGUGACCCGGGUGACAUCUUCGGACGUAAUAUGGCACUAGGGACUUGGGACUUGAGUUUACUCUCCAAAAGUAAACAUAUAAAGGAGUUUACAACCACAAAACACACCCAUACAUGAGUUUACGGCCGUAAACUCAUGUUGGUGUGAAUUUGGGUGUUUAAUGGCUUGAUUGGACAUGGGGAUUGCUAGAAUGGAUUUCUAAAAUGCCUUGGAAUGGAUUUCAUGAGUUUAUACCACUUGGAAGGGAGUUUACGGCCACAACCUUGGAGUUUACGGCCGUAAACUCACCCUUAGCCAAGAAAAUUUGAUUUAAACUACAAAGGAUAAUCACAUGUGAUUCUAACUAAUUUUCUAAGGCUUGGUAUCAACUUGUGGCUUCAUUUAACAUCUUUAUAUGAGUUUACGGCCCAGAUGCACACUCUCUGGCCGUAAACUCUAAUAUGGGUAAGAAACAUUUAGUUUUUGAUGUUUAAAACAAUCACAUGUGAUUCUAGGAAUUUAUCCAAGCCUUUGGGGUGGUUUAAGGCAUCAUUAGACACACUUAUAGGAGUUUACGGCCCAGGAGGAGUUCUAUGGCUGUAAACUCACUUAUGUAGGUCAUUUGGUGUGUUUAAGGUCUCCAAACCAUUUUUAGAUGAUUCUUGGAUUUACCACAAGGCCAUUGGUUGAAUUUCAAGGCAUUUGGACAUGUUUAAAGGUACUUAAUCCCCAUUUAAGAGGAGUUUACGGCCCAAGAAGGAGCCUUGGCUGUAAACUCUCUUUUGUACCCUAUAAUUCAUGUUUAAUGUGUUCCAAGUCUAGAUUUGCAAGCCUCUAGGUCAUAUCUAAGUCCCAACUAUGAUUUGGAAGGGUAAAUUUGGCUUAAAAAACCCUUUUUGAGGAGUUUACGGCCCAAGCUUGCUCCUUGGCCGUAAACUCAUGUUCUUGGUCCCAAAACUUAAGUAAAUCAUCAAAUUGAAGUCUAAAGAGGCUGAAUAACAAGCUAGGGAGGUUACCUCAAAGAUUUGAAGCCUUAAACUUGAGAUUUGGACCUUAAUUCUAGCUUGAGGAGAGAGGUUGGGAGAGUUUAUUGAGAAAAUGGCCAAAGGCUUCAAAUGGAGUCUUAAAGCACUUUAUAUAGUGUUCGGGAAUUGGACACGACGGAAUUCUACCCGAUACUGACGUUAGGCGAGGCUUUUGGUCGUACUCGAUUAAGUUACCGUAACCCGAUACGGUAAAUUCUAGGAAUAUUCCGUUCACUAAAGUGGGGUGUUAAAAAUGAUUUCUAAAUGUAUUAAGACACCCAUUAAGUCAUUUUAGGUAUAUACAAGUUAAUGACUUCAUUAAAAUGGUGAAAUCCGAAACGAAAUUGGAAACGACGUUUGGUUGAUCAAAUUAGAUUACAAGAAGUGAUAUGAAAUUUUGGGUUGUUACAUUACUGUUGUGUGUGAUUCAAUGAGUAAAUGCAAGUAAGCAUUGAGUCGAAGUUUAUCCAUUCCUUUUAUCCAAAGUUGGAUAAAACGAUAUCUUUGGGCCCCUCGAUGAUUUAGUGAUGGCACAUAAGUGCUUGGCCAAGCCGAAACUAAUUUGAUGUGUUCAAUUGUAGUCUGUUGUCAGUUAUCAUAAAUCGGAAGUCGGGAAAUAGUAUAGAGGGAAUGAUUAAAAUUCAUGUCUCACGUCUAUACGAUAUCUAGAAUGGAGUAAUAUAUAAUCCCUUAUCUACAGGACACACUUCUGAUAAGAUCAGAGUUGACAACGGCUUCUGAAAGCUACGAUUGCAGUCAGGAUCUGAAGUCAUACGGAGAAUAGUUAUUAAAUUUAUCCAAGUGGGAGACUGUUGGAUUAGUGUCUAAGUCCAUAACUAUUUUGGUAUGUACUUGACCCGGUGGUGCAUAGUCCUAUUGGGUUGCCUUCACCAAAGCAACUUGAUAGGAUGAAUUAUGGAGAGAGAUGAUUAAUUAUGAUUUAUUAAUAUAUUAUGACAAUAAUAUAUUAAAGGAGAAAUCAUAUUGUUUAAUUAAUAUUAGUCAAUAAUUAAUAAGAAUUAAUUUUGUGGCUAAAAGACAUUAAUUAAAUAAAAGGGACUAGAACUAUCAAUUGUGUGAUAGUUGAAUAUUAGGCUAACGGAGUCCAUAGAGGAUGGAGUGGACGAAUUCUAUGGGGAAACCCUUAGAGAUCGUCCAAGGCCUCUAAGGAGGGAGUCCAUGGAUUGCUUAGGGCCUAAGCCGUCAAAUUAGGGUUUCCUUGUUAGAUAACCCUAAUAGCCUCACUAUUUAAGGACCCCUAUGGCACCAAAAACAUGGCCAACUAAUUCCUUAGGGUUUCUACACGUUUUUGGGUGCCUCCUCUCAUCUCAUUCUUCAUCCUGUUGCUCUUGGUGUUUGUGAGCCAUUAGAGGAGUGACACUUGUGACUCUAAGCUUUCUAAAGCCAUUACAAGGAGGAUUUGAGAUUGUUAUUGCUACAUAACAAUCAAGGUAAGAUCUAAAACCCCAUUCUUAUGUUAAUAUGAUUAAUUGUAUGCUAGUUCUAGGGUUUAUAGCUUUGGAUAUUCAAUUGCAUGUUCAUUAGACAAACUAGAUCCAAAAGCUAUUAGGGUUUUCAUGUACACCAUAGGANUAUAUAUAUAUAUAUAUAUAUAUAUAUAUAUAUAUAUAUAUGAUUUAUACUUUAUUUUAAUACAUAAAUAUGCUAUUAUAAUUUAUAACUCGUUCAUAUGAACUCCAUUUUGACGCUCUUUAUAUCCAUGCGUAGGUGGAGACGUACUCUAAAACUUUCAGUUAGACUCCGUCGGCUAAUUUUUACUUUAUUUUUAAAGUUAUAUUUUUUAACAGUUCAGGACAAGAAAAGUCCAUUAAAAAUUUAUAACUUCUUCAUCCAACGUCCAUUUUCAUCUGUCUUUUUAUGGUUACACUACUAUUAAUUAGAUACUCAAUUCUCAUUUAGGUUGCAUUGGCUAAAAAUUGAUCGAUCUAAAAUUCGAAUUUCAAGUUGUGUAAUGCUAUGCCAAAUCUUAGAAAAAUCAUAACUUCCUCAUACGAAGUCGGAUUUUGACAUUCGUUUCAUUUAGAUAUAAAGUCUAAAAAUUAUUUUAUCAAAAAUUCAAUUUUUACAUUACACAGUGUCGUGCCGGUUUCGCCGUAAAUCUUCGAACCCCUAGUGGAGAAGAACCAGCCAUCUAUGGAGAGGGUACUAGGGUUGGUUCAGGGUUUUGUUCGGCUGCCAGGGCUCGACAGUAUAUUCAGAAUGGGUGUGUGGGUUACCUUGUUUAUGUGGUUAAUACUCGGGUCGGGGAGCAGACAUCGGUUUGGAGGUGCCAGUUGUCCGGGAGUUUGCUGAUGUGUUUCCGGAGGAGUUACCCAGUGUGCCUCCCGAGAGGCAGGUUGAGUUCAGGAUUGACUUAGUGCCAAGUGCGGCUCUGAUUGCCAAGGCGUCAUACCGAUUGCCCCUUUCUUGAGAUACAAGAGUUGUCCUCUCAGCUUCAGGAGUUGUUGCACAAGUAGUUCAUCAGACCAAGCAGUUCACCGUGGAGAGCGUCGAUACCGUUCCUCAAGAAGAACGAUGGUUCAAACCGGAUGUGCAUUGAUUAUUGGGAGUUGAACAAGUUAAAGGUGAAGAAGCUUUAUCCCCUUCCACGGAUUGAGGACCUAUUUGAUCAGUUGUUGGGUGCAUCUUGGUUCUCUAAGAUCGAUCUGAGGUCCAGGUAUCAUCAGGUGAGAGUCACAGUGAUGGAAUUUUGGUUGAUCCGGUAAAGAUCGAGGCUGUGAUGCAGUGGGAGGUUCCGAAAUCUACCUCAUAGAUCAGGAAUUUAUUGGGUUUGGCAGGAUACUAUCGAGAUUUAUUCAGGAAUUAUUCAAGAUUGCAGUACUCUUCACCCAUCAGAUGAGGAAGGGAGUGUAUUUUUGGUGGGGCCCGGAGCAGCAGUAUGCAUUUGAGACGUUGCGACUGAGGUUAUAUGAGGCCUCGGUGUUGACCCUUCCAGAGGUUGCUGAGGAUUUGAUGGUAUUCUAUGAUGCAUCCAUCACUGGUUUGGGGGAGAUCCUUAUGCAAAGGGGACGAGUGAUUGCUUAUGUUUUGCGACAGAUGAAGCCACAUGAGACAUGGUAUCCUACUCAUGACCUGGAGUUAGGGGGUGUGGUGUUUUCCCUCAAGAUUUGGAGACAUUAUCUUUAUGGGGUCCAUUGUAUUGUAUACACUAAUCAAAAGUGUCUAAGAUAUCUUAUGGACCAGCUGAACCUGAACACGAGGCAUCGUAGGUGGUUGGAUAUGAUCAAGGAUUAUAAUUGUGAUAUUCUUUACCAUCCGGCUAAAGCAAAUGUGGUAGCGGAUGCUUUGAGCCACAAGUUGGCUGGAACUUCUGUUAGGAUAUGUAUAGGAGGAUAUUCAUUGACUCCUCUUUUGGGUUUGAUUAUAGAGGCACAUUUAUAGGGAGUUCGGAAGGAGAACUAGAAACAAGAGAGGAUCAGGGGCGAUAUCGAUAGGUUUUUCACCGAUAGUCACGGGUUUUUGACCCGGUGUGGUCGGGUGUGGGUUCUAGUUUAUGGUAGGAUUAGGUAGAUAGUGCUGGAAGAGGCUCAUAAGUAUCGUUUUUCUAUACACCCGUCAGCCACCAAGAUGUAUCGGGAAUUGAGAUUGAGUUACUGGCGGUCGUGUAUGAAGAAGGAGAUAGCCUCGUAUGUCAAGUGCUUCACCUGUAGGAUGGUCAAGGUCGAGCAUCAGAGGCCACAUGGGAAGCUACAGCCUUUGGAGGUUCCCAUAUGGAAGUGGGAACAUAUGACCAUGGAUUUUAUGAUCAAUUUUCCGAAGACAGCCAAGGCUUUUGAUGCUAUAUGGGUCAUCGUGGAUCGACUGACCAAGAGUUCCCACUUUUUGGCCAUCCAGGAGAGCUUUUCGGCCGAAAAGUUGGCCGAUGUGUAUGUAUGUGAGAUUGUUGCUUGUCAUAGGGUUCUAGUCUCCAUUAUUUCAGACCGAGAUGUUCUGUUCACUUCCCAAUUUCGAUAGAAGUUCCAUGAGGAAUUGGGCAGGAGGCUACAUUUAAGCACUGCAUAUCACCCACAGACCGAUGGGCAGAGUGAGCGGACCAUCUAGGCACUCGAGGAUAUGUUGUGGGUUUGUGUCAUUGAUUUUGCUGGGAGUGGAGAUUCCUACCUAGGUCUUGUAAAGUUUUCUUACAACAAUAGCUACCACUCCAACAUUGGUGCCCCACCUUUUAAGCUCUUGUAUGGUCGGAUAUAUCAUACCCUGGUAUGUUAGGGAGAGGUUGGUCAUAGGGUCAGGAGAAGGACCGAAAUGGUCCUUCAGAAUGUGGAGCUUAUUCGGUAGAUCAGGCAGAGAUUGCAGACAGCUCAGAGUCGGCGGAAGAGCUAUGCCGACCGAUGUCGAUCAAAGUUGGAAUUUUAGAUUGGCGAUAUGGUACUGUUGAAGGUCUCACAUCGAAGGGUGUGAUAUGCUUCAGUAAGAGGGGAAAGUUGGGUCCCUCGUCUAUUAUACAAUUCCGUGUGAUCGUUAGAGUAGGAAAGGUAGCCAAUUGGUUGGACUUGCCGAGAGAGCUCAGUCAGAUCCAUAACACUUUCCAUGUCUCUCAGUUGCGAAAGUGUGUGAUGGACGGUGAGCCAGUGGCUUAUUUGGAUGAUAUUUAUGAAUUAUAUUGAGAGUUUGGUAGCUAUAAUGGAAAUAAAGAUGAAGGUCAUGUGUAACAAGGAGAUACCUUUGGAGUCGGAGGUUGAAAUGCGGGAGAAUUAUUGUAAGGUCCUGAAAGGAUCUUACCAGUGAUCAAACAGCAAAUACAAUCAGUUAAUCAAAUAAGAAUGAGUAGAAUAGAUAAUCAAACAAGCUUGCACACGCUUUUCUAUUAGAAUCACGUCUGGUACAACUUGCAGUUUACAAGAGCUGAGAAUACCGAGGCAUCAACAAACACAAAAGACCUAGCAUACCUCUAUAUAUACUAUCAUGGCCCAGCCUUAGGUUUACGACCGUAAACAGGCUUACGUCUGUAAACUCACUACAGUGACCGUAAACUCCAAACAAAAUACUAUCUGCUAUCAAAUGACCAAAAGAACCUAUUACAUGGAAAGCCUAGACCAAACCACUAAUUGGACCCUUCAAUCAACCCCUUGGUUUGGUGCUAGCUUUAACUCAAUCUUUGUGAAUGAUCAUUACAUCAUCCAGCCCCAUCGCCCCAUUCCACAUCUGCUUGUUGAUAAUUUCAGCAACCAUCGUGGUAUAUUCUUUCGCAGCAGACUCAAAAAUCUCCUCAACAACCUGAAUCUGGAAAUGACUGAAAUGGUGAAUGUCCCAUUUUCCAAACUGGUACAAAUCCCUUCUGUCAUAUAAAUGAAUGCACCCCUCCUUCAGUUAAUGACAGCAGAUGUUGUGGUUUCAUCAAACACCCAGUAAAUCAUAGAGCUUAGAGAUCCAUCCGAGUAAUUUUGAAGCACUGGAAUUUGUUUAACCUGAUUUGCAGUAGGCCACAUCACCACCUGAAGUGGAUUGCCAGUCUUGGGAUCAAUAACAUCAAGAUGAUCCAUUAUCACAGACUUAGCAGUCUUCAUAGCUGGAAAUCCCUUCUUUACUUGGUCUUCCAUGAAGUGCUUGAAGCUUGUUGCUUGCUGGUUAUCGGUCAGCUUUGAGAACGGAGAUUGAGAUAGCUGUGAAAGAUCCACUCUGGUCCAAGAGUUAAACUCAUGACAGUCCUUGUAGAGCUCUGUAUUUCCGCUCUUUCUACGAAGAAUCCACAAUUUCAGUGGAUCAUGAAAACCCCAAGAGAUGAUACCUGACCUAUCACCAUACGUCUCUCUAAACCUUACGGUUUCGAGGUCCGUAACAAUGAUUUUGGACUGAUUUCCUGGCGCAUUCUUGUCAGAACUCCUCUUGAAUAAGAUUUGUCCCUUCUUGGCAGCCUUCUCUUAUUUAUCCCAAAUGAUCUCUAAAAUAUGUGGAGCAUGAAUAGGCUCUUCUUUGAAAUGAUUCACGACCCGUGAGGUAUCAGUAGUUGGAACAACAAUGGGAUGAGCUUGAGAGUGAAGAUUAAUUCUAUAUUCAUCAGUAGUAGUCUUGUACUUAACACACAGAUAUUCUUCAAGCUUCUUCUUUAGAUCAAAGUAGCUAGAGGUCAAGAGAUUAAAAUGAGCUUAGAGCUCAGAUAUCUGUUUGGUCUUUGUCUGUCACACCCCAAAACCUAGAACGGCGGAAACGUUUUGGGGCGGAGGACGUCAUGUACAGUAUCACAACACAUUAUAAUAGUAAACAAGAAAACAACAUCAUUCAUUGCAUUAAAAUUAUAAUUUUAAUACAAGUGUGUUCUGUAGUAUAUAAGACACCAAAAUAUGAAUCAAAAUAUAAGAUGAGUCUUGUAUGCGUUCCAUCUUCUCAAAAGCUGGCAUCGGUACCUGUCUAUUGAUGACCUAAGAAUAUAAGUUAUUUUGAAAGAGUUUAUUAGCAUUAAAGCUAGUGAGUUCAUAAGUAUUUAAUGUCUGUGUUUGUAUCAAAAUGUUUGAAACAGUGUUUGAAGUACGCAUUUGUAAACGUUUGUAGUAAAAGUAUUCGAAUGUUUGUAAGUGUUAGUAAAAGUUUGUAACCCCUACAAAAUCCUAUCUUUUCUACUAAAAGUAGCCUUCUACCAAGGCAUGACUAUUUUGUAUGUUUGUUUGUUGUAAAAGUGUGUAAUUUUCCCAAGUGUAACUAUCAUUAUCAAAUAUAGUUUGUACAUUAAUGUUUCAGUGAAGUAAUCACCAAAUAAAUAUAAAGGGUAAAUUAACGUAGUAUUGUAGUGUUGUAUUAUAGGAACUAUUGCUGUACUAACUGUCUUAAACCGGAUAUAUAUAUCAAGGUAUUAUGUAGUUAAUUGUACCAUACUAUCGACUAUGAAACACGACAAUCUAAGUCAUCAAAAGGUAUGACAUUUGCCACCCGAAGACCUUCCGGUCCCACUAUAGUUAGCAGUAAGGUGUAGGAUAGUCAAUCUAGUUAGAUCUAUACGCAAACUCACGCUCUCCUUCCAAGAGAUUCUGGUUACAACUCAGGCCAUGACGAUGAAGGCAUGCUCCGCUACAAUGGAUCACAUUUAUGUUAUAGUAUACUUGUAUAUGUAAUGUAUGUACUUGUGUAAUGAAUGUAAUGUUUCUCAUCAUAGUAUCGUUCUAUAAGUUCUCAUCAUAGUAUAAAUGUAUAAGUUCUCAUAAUAGUAUAGUUGUAUAAGUUCUCAUCAUAGUAUAGUUGUGUAAGUUCUCAUAAUAGUAAGUAGUGACUCAUGAAUGAACUUACUCUUGUAUGCUUCAUUGGACUAGAAGUAGUAAGUAGUAUAACCCUAAACUAUACCUAUUAUAGUUUAUUAGUAGACUUGUUCGUAUAACUGAAUGUAUUAAACUGAGAUAAAAGUCUUUAUAUCUAUACAUAUAUACAUAAUAUAUAACUAAGGAUUCAACGACCACAACCAAACAAGGACAGGAAGUAAAGCGGGUUAUCAGUUCUAAGUCUUUCAAACCUUAUUUAUAUAACUAUAUAUAUAGUAGACAUGGUUUUAACAAUAUAUAAGUUUGAAAAUCAAAAAAGAAUGGUUUAGUAUGAAAAAGUGAAUUUGAUAAAGAGUUGAUAUGUAAAAUGGUUUGAUAAGCAGUUUGAAGUCAUUUGUUUGGUAAAACAAUUUAAAGUAUAGAAAAUCCAUUUGUAUGCUAGUUAUUAAUCACAUGUGAUUGAUCUAAUAACUAACAUGAUUCAACUUGUAUUCCCCCNCAUAAAAGCAUUUAAAAACAUUGAAUUACAUUUCAAAGGUUAAUUAAGGGGUAUAAACUCACCUGCAGUGAGUGGAUUGUACUGAAGUGUUGGAUAAGGUGCUAGGUGUCAUGUGAGGACUUGAACACACCCAAUGAUCCUAGUUAACAUAUAAUAAACAUAUAUUUAUCUAAUUAGACAUUUAACCACUAAUUAAUCAAGUUAAGACACCUGAGGACAUGGAAACACUUUGAUUCAAGUGUUGUACCAACGGGUUGCAUCUAAUGGUAGUAUGGCAUGGCAUUGGAGUUUAUGGCCCAAGGUGUGACACCCAAAUUUUUGCAAAAAUUUUAAACUUUUAAAACCCAUCUUAAAUUAAGUUAAAACAACAGAAAUAGUCGUAACAUAAUUCAUCAACUUAAUAAUCAUAUAAAAUAUGUGCGGAAGUAAUAAUAAUAAUAAGGUCCCAACAAAAAUAACUAGUAGCGAUGUCCCGGUGCUCCAUGUCAAGCCUUAGCCUCUUUAAUCUUAACACCUGAAAAGUUAUAAGGGAAAAACGUAAGCACGAAGCUUAGUGAAUUCAAACACUGACAUUGUACUAACAUUCAUAUUUACGAGCCCUAAUCCAUUUUCCAAUUAUAAUGAAAAAGGCAAAGAACGAAUCAAUGUCUAUAUUACGAGAAGGACUUGUAGGUUUGAACCGCACCGGGAAUAUCCCGUAUCAUUUGGCCCUAAUCACCGCACCUCACGAAGAGUAUUACGUUGGUGAUCUUACCUACCCACCGCACCGGUAAAUCCGUAUCCUUUGGUGGUUUCCCCAUAUCCAUAAUUAGUUACAUACAGUGCACAUGUACGAAUUAAAACAAUACUUAUAUAGCAUGCUUUUAUAAUAAAUUCAAAUAAUCACACACGAGCUAACUAGCAAACACAAUCAUCAAUACAACGGUGUGAGAGAACUCACCUUGAGUGAGUAUUAAGGAUGGCUAACAAUCAAAUAAUGCUACCAAGCUUGAGCAAACUUCAAAACCUCACCUAAGAAGGACUAAAGGUUAGAAAGGAGAAGUAAUGAAGCUAUGAGUUGAGAAAAGAGUAAUCACAGCAAGGUCUCUAAAACAGACCUGCUGUUCAAAACGGAUUUACUCCAAAAUCUAAAACAGAAACAUAGCUUUAACUAAAUUUUAUAGGAAACUAUGAUUGCUCUGGAUUCCACAACUAUAAAGAACUCAUUCUAACUCCAAAAGAUGAAUUAAAUAUGAAUUUUACAAAAUGGUGUAUCACUUCUGUCUCCAACAAUACAGUCAAGUGAUGUUGGCCAAUUUUACCCAACUUGUGAGUAGAAUUCCUCCAAAAUAAAAUUAAGAGAAGUAAAGGACAUACAAGUGAAAGUCUCAGAGUUGGAAUUGAAUGAAAAUCAUCUCUCAAACUCCAGAUAUAAAAUUCACAUUGUGGACAAUCACAGCACUAGCAAAAGCUGGUGACUGCCCACUGACCUGGAGUGUGGAUCCAUUCUAACCAAUUUAUAAUUGGAAAUAACACCCCAUAUUCUCCAGAUCUUAAAUUCAUAAUAUAAGGAACAUAUAGAAACUUGGAAUCACUCUGGAUCCUUUUCCAAGCCUUAGAAAUGAUGAAAACAAAAUGACAUAUCAGAACAGACCCGGAUCAGACCUAACAGCAAAGAUGCCAUUCUUUCACAUAGAUAAAGCCCUUAUCAGUGAGGUUGGCCUUCUUAAGAAAGUUAGCCAACUCAAUUUGUGAACUUUUGGAACUGGUUUGGGGUCCGUUUGAGUUCUAGAACUCCAGAUAUGAUUUUUACAAAAUGACUACAGAUCUGAUGGAAAACAGAAUCGUAGCCACCCGUGAUUCCUUUUUGGCUUAUCCAUCCUUCUCCUUUUGAAACACAUUUUAAGAUGUGUUCAUCAUCCCAAUUCAGUCCCCAUGAUAAUGGUGGUACUAAAAAGGGUUAGGGAUCAUUAGGAUUUCAUUUAGCCACAAGGAUGUAAUAAUAAUCAACAUGAAAAUAAACAUAAGCACAUAAAAUCAUCAUUCUCCCUUUUAGGGUUUCCAUGAUCUUUUGCCACAUGUAAUCCCCUAGAUCCAUCAUCCACCAUAUAUGGGGUGAAGAUAGGAUCUUGAGAUGAUGUAUAACAUACAAUUACAAAUAAAAUAAGAAGGAGAAGAGGUGAAGAUGAAAUCAUAAAACUAGAACAAGGUUUGUAAGAAAGGAUAAGGAGGUUCAUACCAAUACGAAUCAAGGCUGGAAAUGAACAAGAAUUAAGCUCCAAACAGCCCCUUGGCUGCUCUUGAUCCCAAAGAGAGAGAGAGAGGGACGAUUUUUGAGAGAGAGGGAGGGUUUAGAGUGUUUUCCUUGUGUGUGUUCCAAAUGAUUCAAUUUACACAUUAAGUACUAUUUACUAGAUGGACUUUGCAAAUAGGCCCAUAGCCCAUGGACUUCAAUAAAAGGAGUUUACAAGAUGAUCAAAAGAGUCCAAUAACAUAAGAAAUCAGACAUUGGUUAAAUAAAUUAACCCAAGGUUACAAGGAUAAUUAAAUUAAAAUAACUAAACAUACCGAGAAAAACCGGGGCGUUACACAAGGACCACUCCUUAUGGAGUUCACGGCCCAUGACCAUAUCCUUAUGUGUUUACGGACAACUAGUUUUGGUUGUAGAGUUCACGUUCUAAGGACCAUAUCCUUAUGUGUUUAUGACCGACUAGUUUUGAUUGUUGUUUAAGGUCUUAAACACUCCUAGGAAGGAUCAAGGUUGGCAUCCAAGGCUUAGGAAGGAACUAGGGUCCAUUUAGCCACCUUAAGAGAGGUUCACGGCCCAAGAACAUCCUUGGCCGUGAACUCCUUUGUUUUUAUUAUUCUUGAUGAUUUUCAAGUGUUAUCAAGUUCAUAUUAAGCCCACAAGAAGCUAGGGCAAGUGUACUUACAAGAUAGAAGUUCGAUUGGGUGUUUAAGGUCCAAGAAGACUUGUGUGUGUUCUUAGUGUUCUUGGUGUUUUGAAGAACGCUUGAAGAUCUGGAUAAAAGGUAAUAAUGAAUGGAUAAAAUGACGUAUAACUACUAGAUAUUAGGUUAUAACAACAAUUCAAGUCGAGAAUUACUUACGUUUUCGGAAGAUCGGGUGAAGAACGGGAUGAUAGUUGAGAGAGAAUGGGGAGUGUUCUUAAGGGUGAAAGUGAAAAAUGAACCAAUUGGGGAGUAAACUCACGUCUAAGCCAUGAUUUCACGGCCCAAACUCCCUUUGUUUGGCCAUGAACACCUAACUAAGGUGUUGGUUGUUCCAUUGUUAUCCCAAUAUUCUAGAAAACACUUCCUUUUAUCCGUUCGAUUCAUGAAAAAUAAAUAAAACUACUCAAACAGACUUUAAACUGGCUAAAAAUUAGCAAAAAUGUAAUUGGAUUUUAAUUGAAGUGCUUGACUUUAGAGUCUGUACAAUUGAAAAUUUCGGGAUGUCAGAUCAUCCCCCCUGUUAAAGGGAAUUUCGUCCCGAAAUUAAAGUCUAAGAAAAUAAGGUAGUUUCAAAUAACUAAGAUAAUAGAUGAGGAUAUUUCAAUUUCAUUUGAUCCUCACACUCCCAUGUGAAUUCCAGUCCUCACUUGACAUUCCAGCGAACCUUCACAAUCGGGAUGCAGAUUUGCUUCGUCUGCUUGACCUCCCGGUCCAUGAUCUCUACAGGUUCUUCCACGAAGUUGAGACUCUCGUUGAUGUCGAUCUCUUCGAGUGGGAUUACAAGAGUCUUGUCGGACAGACACUUUUUCAAGUUUGAGACGUGGAAUGUAGAAUGUACGUUACUGAGUUCAUUGGGUAGAUUGAGUUUAUAAGUUAUAAGGUCGAUUCUAGCAAGAAUCUCGAAAGGCCCUAUGUAUCUUGGAUUUAGCUUCCCACACUUACUGAAACGUAUCAAGCCCUUCCAGGGUGAGACUUUCAAAAGGACUCGGUCUCCCACCUGGAAUUCCAAAGGUUUCCUUCGCUUGUCAGCGUAGCUUUUCUGUCGGUCUCUAGUGGCUGUCAAUCGUUCAUGAAUCUGAACGAUCUUCUCUGUUGUUUCCCUUUUAUGAUUUAUGGACCUGUGAGAGUGCUGUCAGGAACAUGUCCUCUAGCUAACUGGGUGUCACCCACUUCAGCCGAACACAGAGGGGAUCUGCACUUCCGGCCAUAGAGGGCUUCAAAUGGAGUAGUCUUGAUGCUUGUGUGAUAACUGUUAUUGUAGGAAAAUUCGAUCAGGGGUAAGUGAGUAUCCCAUGCCUUCCCAAAUUCGAUCACACAUGCUCUCAACCUAUCUUCUCAUGUUUGGAUGGUUCUGUCACUUUUUCCAUUGGUCUGAGGAUGGUAGGCUGUGCUCAUGUCUAGCCUUGUUCCUAGGGAACUUUGCAGUGACUGCCAGAACCUUGAAGUGAACCUACUAUCUCUAUCGGAGAUAAUGGAUAUAGGAACACCAUGCAGUCGUACUAUUUCCCUAAUGUAUGUUCUCAUAAGCUUCUCCAUCUUGUCAGUUUCUUUGAUUGGCAGGAAGUGUGCAAAUUUGGUCAAUCUAUCGACAAUGACCCAUAUGGUAUCAAGUCCACCCGCUAUGUUGGGCAACUUGGUUAUGAAAUCCAUAGUGAUCCGCUCCCACUUCCAUUCUCAUAUCUCUGGUUGUCGAAGUAAACCGGAGGGUUUCGGGUAUUCGACCUUAACCUUUGCACAAGUAAGGCAUUUACUCACGAAGGUAGCAAGUUCUUCAUUCAUGUUAGGCCACCAGUAUUGUUGGAUUAGUGUCUAAGCCCGUAACCAUAUUUGUCAAGUACUUGACCCGAUUGUGCAUGGUCCUUUUGGGUUGCCUUCACCAAAGCAACUUGAUUGGAGAAAUAAUAGAGAAAGAGGUUAAUAUGAUUUAUUAAUAUAUUAUAAGAAUAAUAUAUUAAAGGAGAAAUCAUAUUUGUUUAAUUAAUAUUGGUCAAUAAUUAAUCAGGAAUUAAUUUUGUGAUCAAGUGUAAUUGAUUAAACUAGAGGGGCUGAAUUGUAAUUAUGUGAUAGUUGCAAAAUAGGGCAAUGUUUAUCCUUGUUAAAGGAUGGACGAAUUCAAGGAUAAGGAUAUCCUUGAAAUCGUCCAAGGCCCAAGAGAUAAGGGUUUUUCAAGGCUUAUCUUGUGGUUGUUUGGUGGGCAAGUAACUGGAUAAGGAUAAGGACGGAAACCCUAAUCCCAACCCUAUAAAAAUACCCCUUGGCUAAUGAAAUUCGUCCAUGCCUUCCCAAGGGUUGCUAGGGACGAAAUUAUAUACCUCUCCUCUAGCCUCUCCAAUUGCUUGUGGUGUUUGUGAGCCAUUAGAGGCACUACACUUGUGGUGCUUGCUUUCAAGACUUACGGUUUGAAGAUUUGAGUUGUUAUUGCAAUAUAACAACAAGAGGUAUGUGUUCUAACCUUCUUGGUUAAUUUCAAAAAUUGUAGGCCACAUUAGGGUUUCUUUAUGUGUUCAUAAUGUUGUGUAUCUAGUAGUGAAAACAUAGAUCCAAUUCUAGGGUUGCAUGCACACAUAGGAUUGUUUGUAUAAAACCCAUCAGUGGUAUCAGAGCCAUUUGUUAGCUUGUUUUCAAUUAGUAUUAUUCAAUUGUAUGAACUGGACAUAUUAGGGUUUAUGGCCAAUAAACCCUAGUAGGCUUGGAUUUUCGAGAUUAGGGUUUCCAAACCAUAAUUUACAAAAGCUUGAAAAAGAUUUUCAAAUCCUUUCCUUAAACCUUUAGAUUUCGAAAUCUAGGGUUUGUCAUAACCCCUUGAUUUUCGAAAUUGGCCUCCUCCCCAAGAUAAGAUCCUAAAUUUUAGGGAUUUGGAUUAUCCCAUAUCUUGUAAUUAUCGUUUAAUUGUUAUAUAUGGUAAUUGAAGAUUUUGGAUUAUCUUAACCUUAUCAAGAGAGACAUUUAAGGGAUUAGGAUAUCUUAAAUGUAUAAAUGGUAACUGUCCUCAUGAUUUAGAUAAUCCCUUAUGAUUAAAUUAAUAGUCUAAUUCAAGAUAAUUAUUAAAUCAAGAGUUUUAAUAUUUAAAAUUUUAAUUUAUAUGUCAUAAAUUUGAAAAUUUUAAGAAAGAUUAAAACUCAAUUAUUUUGAAAAGUUUCAAAACUUGCCCUCAAGUUUUGGAAUUUAAAUUGUUUGAUUAAUAGUUUAAUUUUGAAAAAGUUUUAAAUUCUAAAACCGUAAUUUUGAAAAGUUCAAAUUACACCCUUAUGGUUUUAUUAAAUUAAUUAAGUGUUUGAUUAAAAGAGAGUUAAUAAAUCCAUAAUGAAAAAGGUUUAUAUUUUAAGUGUAAUUUAUAAAAUUUAAACCAUCUAGUAUUUUAAAAGUGUAAAAUACACCCUUACACUAUGUAUAACAUUAAAAGUCUAAUAUUAUAUAUGUAUAACUUAAAUGCUAGUCUUACCGUUAGUAGGCCUCAUUCACGAAGCCGAUCUAUAAGGGGGGUAUAAGGUUAUGGCCUACAAAAUGGUCGUUUAAUGGGUAUCCACUCUUACCCACCGCUUCCUUGAUUGGUGGAGAGUCGUUAGCCGAACGGGUAGGAUAGAGUAAUCAUCUCUUCAUUAAUAAGUAUAAUGAAUCUAUGUAAAGUAACUAAACGCUUUUUCAAAUUCCCAAUCCUAGUUACUUUAGGAAAAAGUGAAAUUGAUUUAAUCCCAUGAAAUUACACUUUGCACCCUUGCUAAGAAGUUAGUGGAGCGUGUGUGGUUAACCGGUACACUAAUUAGUUCUAAGAAAAUGUGGCAAAGGGUGACUCAAUGUUUGUCAUAGUUCGAUGGAGCGUGUGUGGUUUACCGACACAUCGAAUAGGUGAUUGUAACAAUGAGGGCACCAUGUAGAUUUGCAUGGUUAUUCACACCCACUUUGUGAUCCUCGGCAUCCUAGUCACAAACGAGAGGGGCAUAUCGAGAUUUUAACAUGCCAUUGAAAAGUUCAAUGAAUCUCAAAGGAAAUCUAGGAAUUAUUAAUACAUUUAAAACUUAAGCCUUUAUGUUUUUCAUGGUGAACAAUUAGUGAAUCGUCAUUUACUUACCUCCGAAUUAUUUGCAUGUUGGAUUACGGCAUCCCUCUUCUAAUGUGUAAAUAAUGUUGUUGGAUCCUAGCCUUAAUGUCUCAUUUGGGUGUUUCAUUAAGGAUUCAAUCAACUAACUUGAAAUUUCUCCCUUUUUGUAGAUAUCUGACUCUAACCGUGGUCUCCCCGAAUCCCAAGGAAAAGGUGUUCCCAUUAAAAGUGAUAGCUUGUUCCAAAUUAAAGGAUCAAUGUCGACUAGCUUGAUCUCACUCCCUCCUCCUCCUCCCGUUGUUCUCCCCGACCCACAAGAUCAAAGAUUUGAAAGGUUCAAGAUCACCGAGACCCUUUUGGCAAUGCAACAUGAAGAUGGUAAACCCGUGUGUGCUCACGUCCUAGGGAUGAAAUCACACAUCGAUAGGUUGAUUAUGUUGGGUGCGUAUUUCCCCAAUAAGGUGGCUGUGGAUUGGGUUCUUCAGUCACUCCCUGAAUCAUAUGAUAAGUUCGAAAGAGAGUAUUAUAUGAUGGACAUUGAUGCGACCCUCAUUGACUUAACUUACAUGCUUAUUGCUGCCGAAUCAGAAAUGAUUUGGCAAAGUAAUGGAGCAUAUUUGUCUAGUAAAUCAACCAACCAUGCUUCCGUGGAUGUUCUAGGAGAAGCGACAUGUUUCUGCUGCCAAGGGAAAGGGAAGUGGAUACGAAGCUGCCCAAAGGAACUGAAUAGUCUAAGAGAUGGAAGAGUCAAGAAGUGUGGCUAUGCUUCAGGUACAAAGUCCAUUAUAUAACUCCAUUAAAUUCCUAUUCUUUAUACAUAAUGUGAUAAGAUUACAUUUGCAUGUUUUGCAGGAUAAAAAAAAGGUUGAUUGAACAGCAAGAUGAGUCUGAUCACGAAGAAAUGGAUUACGAUCGCAUGGAUUCGAAGAUCAGAUUUUGAGCUUGGGAAGUUAUGAUAGAUUUUUUAGGAGUAUUUGAACACAUAGUUUUUCAUUUGAAUUUUGUGUUGUAAGGACAUGUUUUCCGCUGCUUUGAUGAAUAAAAUAAAUUUUGGAUUUUAUCUUAUUUGUUUAUCCUUGUAAUGGCAUAUAUGAAAAAAAGUUGAUGUGUCUGUACUUCUACUAUUAGCAAUAUGGGUUUGAUUCUUAAUUAGGUUACUUGCGAAAGUGUCAAAAUUUUACCAAAUAGGGAGAGUUUCUCAUCGCGCAAGUUUCAAGCUGAUAGGAACUCGGAAUCGUGCAACAAGUAUUGCAUGAUGAAUGAAAACUAUCACAUUUGGGAAAUUCAGACUAGUUUUUGACAAAGUGUCAAGUGAAGGACUAUGAGAUCAAGUACACAAAGUUAUGUGUUGAUCAAGUCCACCACAAGAGUGACAAAGAUAUUCGUCAUGAUUUACUAAAGUUUAGUGAAUAUGGUUAUACUUAUAAGAUUAAGUAUAAUUCUGAAUUGAUUAAAAGAGUUUCGAUCAAUAGCAGAAUGAAUAAGAAGACUCAAGCAGGCAGAAAGAUAAAAGUUUCUCCGUUCUAAGAAGAAAGGAGAGUACCUUUUAUUGUGUUAGGACUUAAUGAUUAAGAACCAUAUCUCAAUUGAUCCUCUAAGUGAUUGUUAGUAAAAUUUGUAUGUUUAAGAAGAGGAGACAAGAAUUGUGAAAAUGGUUAAAUCAAGAAGUCAAUCAUACUUCAUUCCAAUGUCAAGUCUUAGAGUUAUACUCCAAGAUUGUGAAUAAGGUGAUAAGUCUUAAGAAGGGCUAUAAUAUUUGUCAAAUGUGAAGUUUGGAAAAAGGGUUUUUCUUGUUCUGGCACAUUUGAAUUGGUAAAUUGUGAUGUCUUAGAUAAGACGAAGACCAACUAGGACCAAUUAUGUGAAAAGUUUUGUCUAGAUAAAAACUACACUAACUCUUGAAUAUUUGUUUGUCGAGAAAUGUUUCUUAACAAGGGAAUCUUAUAUGUCAAGGAGCCAGUGGGAGUCUUAAUGGUCUUGAAAGGUUUUGUUAGGUCCAAAAGGUGUUGUGUCUUGUUCUCGCUAGUUAGACCAUUUAGACUCCAGUAUGGGCAUGUCCAUCCGAGAGUUAUUUUAUAGGGUUUUGUAUUUAUAGGUGCUUGCAUGCAUCCUAGUACGUAACGUUUUGAGCAGAUUUAAUCUUUGAUCUUUUGUAACCCUAAAUAGCCUCUACAGCGGAAGUUCUUAGUCGAGCUCUGCUGAGGCGUGAAUCUAUUGAAGCAUCUAACAUAUUGUGAUUCAUUCUUGUGUUUGAUCUUUCAGUUAGUAUUUUUCUGAAUAACCUGUUUGAAGAUCUAAACGAUCAUAGAGUUUUUCAACUCAUCAAUUGGUCUCAUAGAAGGAGGCUGUGUAAUUCAUACACAUCUCUUCUGUGAAAGAAGUGAUUAGGGUUUAUUCCGCAUUUACUGAUAUUUAUUGAUCCGUCACUCCAUAAUUGAUGUAUCUCAUUAUUUAUUUGUUUUUCCCUAAUAUUACGUAUUACAAGUCUGAUCUUGCAACAGGUUAAACGAUCAAGCAUGGACGAUUCUCAAUCUAAUCCUAUCAACAUCUCAAACAGUAUAGGAUCUACAACUAAGAUUCCAAUUCUUUACACUCAAGAAUACAAAGUUUGGGCGCAUCAUUUCGAAGACUACGUCAUUGGAUCUGAAGACAAUGGGUAUCUGAUAUGGGAAGCCAUCGUGUCUGGACCAGUUGCUCAUUCAGAAACAUCCAGAAUUAUUAAAACUCAAAAGGAGUAUAAUGAUCUGUUGAAGGAUGUGAAAGAUGUCGCUCAGGACGAAAAGGAGAAGUUUUAGUACAACAUCAAGGCAUUGAGACUGAUUCGAUUCGCUCUUCAAUCUGACACAUUUAGAUUGGUGAGUUCCUGCAGUACUGCUAAAGAAAUCUGGGAUCGGCUGCGAGAGCUGUAUUCCACAGAUGAAGACUUGGAGCACUCAAUUCAAACCUUGCUUCUGUCUGAGUUUGGAGAAUUCAAGCACAAUCCUGAUGAGUCUGUUACACAGACGUUUGAUCGCUUUAAUCAUCUUCUCAGCAAGAUGAUCAAACAUGACAUUGAAAGAAAACUGAUCGAACAGAAGGUUACCUUUUUAAAUGGUCUAAAAUCUAAAUGGCGGAUGGUCGUAUCAAUGGUUAAAGCACAUGAACAGUUUAAAUCUUAUUCACUGGCGAAACUAGUGGGAAUUCUGAAAUCCCAAGAAAAGAUAGUGAUGCAAGAGAAGAGUGUGGUCUCAAACUUGGGGUCCUUGGCCCUUUUGUCUAAAAGUAAGAAUGCAGUAGAAGACGAAGAUCUGAACCUGGGGGACUAUGAUCUAACUUCAGAAGGUUAUGCUAUGAUGGUGUCCAAUCCCAAAAGGUUCAUCAAUAAGAGGUUUCCUACCAAUAAGAACCGAAAUGGGCAGGGAAGCUGCAGUUCUAAAAAAGUGAGGGAGGAGCCGAAGACUGAAGAAACAAAGAAAGAGGCGAAGGUGGAAGCGGAUUCUGGUGUCAGCUGUUAUUACUGUGGAGGAAAGAAUCAUUACGCCAAAGAUUGUGUUUUGAAGAAAAUGACAGAGAAAGAUGAGGAGAAAGAUGAAGAGGCAAUUCUUAUGAAAAAGUUGGAGGAGAUUAAAAGGAAGAAAGCUGCUACUAAUCCCUCUAUGAAUGCUUUUAUUGUGCAGGGUUCAACAAGGGAUGAUGAGUUCGGUGGCGUAUAGGUGUGGUCGACCGACUCAGAAGAUGAUGAGGUGAGAAAGCCUUCUCAUGGAAAGGAUUUUGUCGCUAGAGGUGGUGAAAGCAGUGGAAAAUGUCUGAUGGUGAUUGACGUAUCUCACAUGAGGGGAUAUAAUACUGAUGGUGGAAAUGAAGAGGCCAAGGAGCAAGAGGACUUAUGCUUCACAGCAAAACCUCUCAGUGUGCAGAUCAGUGAACUUGAUGAACUGAUCAAGAAGGUACAAUCUCUUUUUAUUUCGUUCAAAAUUCCACAGAAAUCAUAUGAAAAGGAAUUAAAUAACUUGUAUUUAAGAAUCUCAAAUCUAGAUAGUUCUUUAACUCAAGCACGGGUCACAAAUUCUAACCUGACUGACCAAAUAAGCAGGGUGUCAUCCAAGAGUGAGGAGUGAAGGAUGUGGAUUGAGCAGAAGGAGUUGGAGCUAAUUAAGACUAGAGAUGAAAACAUUUAUUUGCAAAGAGACAAUUUUGAAGUUGUUAAAACAAAUGAAUGUUUUUUGUUUAAUCACUAAAAGGCUUUAUGCUAACAUUAAUCAACUGCAUCUGAAUUGUGAAAUAAGGCAGAAGAUACAUCGCAUGAUUCUACCCUUCCUUGAGUUUAAGGAGGAUGAAAUCGAUGCCAAAGCAUACAACUGUGAAAGUGUUGUAUCUUCCGAUGAUGUGAAUCCUACUUAUNGAUGUUAAUCCCACUUAUAUGUAUGGUCUAGACAAAAUAGAAUCUUUUAUAAAAUCCAAAGACCAUAAGGACAUGCUUAAAAAUCUUCUGGAUGAAAAUGAUAAGCUAAAAGUCAAGAUCGAAACCAUACAAAAAUUUGACUCAUUGAGUACCAAUUUAAGUUGAGAAAACAAAAAUGAUGUUGAAAACGCAUCUGAACUUGAUGAGGACGAUGAUAUGAGUGAAAUUUCUGUAGAGGACGAAGUCGACUGUUCUGAGUUUGUCAAGAGCGAACCCGAAAACCACAAAAACCUGAUUCUGAAAAUUCUGUUGAAUUCGCUCGCUCGUCCAAAACUAAGUCCCCAGUCCUUAAAGAAAAAGCUGUCGUGUUUCAGAAAGUUAGGACUACUCCCAAUCAGGUGUAUAAGGUCACAGGAGUAACCGAACAUCAAACAGCUGAACUCACUGCCAUUGUGAACGAAGACAAUGCAGAUGGCUGUGAUGAGUUUUUUUGGUCUGCUCCUAUAGAUAAUGCAGACGAAACAGUAGGUCUGUCGGAGCGAACAUCCUGGAAAACCAAAGGAAGAUAUGUGCCGGAGCCGCUGAAUAAGCCUGCUAACUUUGACGUACCAAGUACAAGUGGCACAAAAGAAAUUCCUGCAAAAGAAGUCACAUCAACAGGUGAAACCUCAUCCAUAAAGAGCGAACCUAUUGCCAAGAAGCUUAAACAAAAGGCUAAUAUCCACAGACAACCGAAACAGGUGAAGACUCAGAAGCAGCAAAGAAACCUGAGAUACAAGAAGAAUCUCUUAGAGCGAAAGCAAUUUUGGCGCUCUCAAAAUCCUCACUUCUCUUACCAUGAUAAAGAUUCUAAGUCAGGGAAAAAGACUUUCGGGCCACAUGAAGAACAAAACCGAAAGGAUAGGUUCGGUCCCAAAAGCAACAGCAACCGAAAGGAUAGGUUCGGUCCGACGAAUAAUGAAAGGCAAAGUCCUGAUUUCGGUCCAUCAAGUUUUUAUCAUAAAAGAAUAAGUUUCGGACCACCAACCAACAACUCUCAAAAAUCCAACUUCGGCUCAACAGCAAGCGGCUACCGAAGGUCUAGGUUCGGUCCCUCCAAUGCCCAUAAACAAAAGGGUCAUUUUGAACCUCAAUUCAGGAAAAACUCCCAUUCUAAAGUCUCUUUUUUCUAAUUCUUCUCAUUCUCAAUCCUCUUCUAAACCCAAUUCAGUUCCUGCACAAAACCCAAAAUCAUCAACAAACUUGAACGAAAAAACGAAGAUUCCCGCAGCCAAGGAAGACCGAAAGCAGACUAAUGCCCAAAAACCAGAAUCUGAAACCAAAAUGCAUGUAGCUAACUCUAACAAAAUCAAAGUGUUUACUAUUAAAAGAAAAGAUGAAACAACCUUAGUAAAACGAAUAUAUCUUGUUGAUGUUUCUCUUACUAUUCCUGUUCUUGUGAAAGGCUCACGUGAACCCAAGAAACUUUGGGUUCCUAAAUCUGCUUAAUUUUUGCAGGUUAUUAGUGACGAGCAGUUCGAAGAAGAAUGGUACAUUGACAGUGGCUGCUCACGUCACAUGACAGGAAGGAAGGAAGAGCUAAGGGAGUUUCGAUCUCUUCAAAAUGGUGGCAAUGUUAUGUUCGGUAACAACUCCUAUGGAACAAUAAAGGGUUAUGUGAUGAUAACUAAUGGAGACUUCACAAUAAGAAAGGUGGCGUAUGUAGAAGGGUUGCAGCAUAAUCUCAUCAGUGUAUCUCAAUUGGUGGGAGGUACCGGUCUCAAAGUUUCAUUCGACGACGAAGGUUCAGAGAUUAUUGAAAAGAAAUCUUACAAGGUCAUUCUCAAAUCAGAUCGUAAAGGCAAAAUGUUUCCUUUGAAUCUCAGACCAAUCAAAGGAAAUCCAGCAAUAUGUCUUUUGUCCAAAGCUCAUUCUGACGAAAGCUGGUUGUGGCACCGAAGGCUCUCACAUCUUAACUUCAAAGACAUCAACAAGCUUGUUACCGGAGGUCAUGUUCGGGGUCUUCCCUUGCUAAAUUUUGAUCGAGAACACUUGUGCGCUGCAUGCGAAAUGGGGAAACAAAGUGGUCAAAGUCACCCAUCAAUUAUAAACACAAAAGUUGUUGAACCACUUGAGUUGCCUCACAUCUACUUGUGUGGUCCAUCAUCAAUCGAAAGCAUUGGCGGUAGCAAGUAUAUUCUUGUUAUUGUUGAUGAUUUCUCACCUUUUACAUGGGUGUUCUUUCUGAAGCACAAAUCUGAGGCCACUCCUAAGCUAAAGAUGUUUAUCAAGCAGGUUGAAGUGCAACUGAGAAAAGUCGUUCGAAACAUUAGGAGCGACAAUGGACUGGAAUUCAAGAACAAAGAAUUUGAAGACUUUUUGGCAGAAAAAGGAACCAGUCACAACCUCUCAGCCCCCUACACGCCUCAACAGAACGGAAUCGUCGAAAGGCGAAACCGAUCCUUGUGUGAGGCGGCCCAAACUAUGCUAAGUUUCACUUCUCUUCCCUUAUAUUUCUGGGCUGAUGCUAUUGCUGCAGCAUGUUUCACGCAGAAUAGGUCUUAUCUCAACAAGCAUUUCUCACUCACUCCUUAUGAGAUCAUCAAUAACAGGAAGCCGAACGUAAAAUUCCUCCAUGUGUUUGGUUCACGGUGCUUCAUCUUCAACUCCAAAAACAUCGUAACAAGUUUGUAGAAACCUAUUAUGUGACUUUCGAUGACAGCUACAUCAAGAAGCUAAAGACUACUAAAAAGCAAUUGGAGAGAUUUUCACUCAAACAGGUCAAGUCACAGCCACGAUUGCUAAUCUAAUCGAUCAGUUUGUAGACUUAUUCGAUGAACCUGAGAAAGCCACUCUCUCGGAAGCCAAGGCAGCAGACAACAAAAUCGAUCAUCUGAAGCAAAUUGUCGAAGAUGCAGCCAAACAAAUGGGUGAAGGAGAACAAGUUCCAAACGAACCUCCUCAGCACGGCACUUCAGUUGAGGGGGAGAAUCUAUUUUCUUCAAAUCAACCAAACUCACACUUUUAGGGGGAGAAUUCUAUUCCUAUAGCACAUGAAAGCCCAGCUAUGCCCGAAAGUCCUGUAGCACCCGAAAGCUCAGCUACACCCGAAAGUUCUGUAGCACCCGAAAGCUCCGCUACACCCGAAAGUCCAGCUACACCUGAGAGUUCUGUUGCACCCGAAGGUCCAAACCAACCUGAAAAUCCAAAUGAUUCAUCAUCUGUCGAGGGGGAGAAUUCCGAUAUAUUCUAUGAUGACGAUAGUCAAUCUGAAUUGGAAGAAAUGGUGAAUGCCGAAUUGGAUCCAUCCUAUGAUCCAAACUAUCCUCCCCUAAUUAAAUGGACCAAAGAUCAUCCUGUAUCUCAGAUAGUGGGUAAUGUAUCUGAAAAGGUCCUGACCCGAUCUCAAGUGAAAGCAAAGCAAUCCUCCCUAUUCUCCCAAGUAGAGUUAUGCAUGGAUAAUUCUUUCAUAUCCAAAGUUGAACCGAAGACAGUCAAUACUGCUCUUGAUCAUUCUGACUGGGUUCAGGCUAUGCAAGAUGAACUCAAUGAGUUUGAAAGAAACAAGGUAUGGCGUCUCAUUCCAACACCUAAAGAUGCCUCAGUCGUUGGUCUCAAGUGGGUAUUCAGAAACAAAAAUGGACAAGGAGGGAAAUGUGAUUCGAAAUAAAGCUCGUCUCGUGGCGAAAGGAUACUGCCAGAAAGAAGGAAUUGAUUACGAAGAAACUUUUGCUCCGGUAGCAAGACUGGAAUCUGUUCGAAUAUUUCUUGCCUAUGCUGCACACAAGAACUUUUAGGUCUAUCAAAUGCAUGUGAAAUGCGCCUUUCUAAAUGGAGAACUUGAAGAAACAGUUUACGUGGAGCAACCUCCAGGUUUUGUGAAUGAAAAGCAUCCAAAUCACUGUUACAUUCUUGACAAGGCAGUUUAUGGUCUGAAACAAGCGCCUAGGGCAUGGUAUGAAACGCUAACUAAGUUCUUAAAGAUGUCUAAAUUCAAACAAGGUUUGGUUGAACCAACCUUCUUUCGAAAGAAGGAAGGUAACCACCUUAUGAUAGUUCAAAUCUAUGUCGAUGAUAUCAUCUUUGGCUCAACGAAUCCAAGCUUAAUAGUUGAAUUCAGAAAGCUCAUGGAGACUAAAUUUGAAAUGAGCUCAAUGGGUCCGAUUAACUUUUGCCUUGGUUUAAACAUUAGACAGGGACCCGAAGGCAUCUUUAUCAACCAGGAAGCAUACACCAAGACUCUUCUUGCUAAAUUCGGCAUGAUGGGAGACUCAAAGGUCAAAGUUCCAAUGGCGUUCGGCACCAAACUGACACCAUCCUUGGAAAAACCAGCAGUCGAUAUUACGCUAUAUCGCCAAAUGAUUGGUUCCCUGAUGUACCUCACAGCUAGCAGGCCCGAUAGAAUGUUUUCUAUGUGUUAUUGUGCUAGGUUUCAGGCGAAUCCUCGUGAAACACACAUGCUAGCAGUGAAAAACAUACUCCGGUAUCUGAAGCGAACCACCUCCCUUGGUCUAUGGUAUCCAUCAAACUCAGGUUUCUUUGUUCAAGCCUACUCAGAUGCAGACCUUGGAGGAUGUGGUUUAGACAGGAAAAGCACUACAGGAGGAUGUCAAUUCCUUGACGGAAAGUUGGUGAGCUGGCAAUCUAAGAAACAAACAUGUGUUUCACUGUCUACAGCCGAAGCAGAAUAUAUUGCAGCCGCUUCUUGCACAUCUCAAGUGAUUUGGAUCCAAAGCCAACUCCGGGAUUAUGGACUCAAUAUGAGAAACAUCCCUCUAUAUUGUGACUCUAAAAGUGCAAUUAGGAUCUGUCAUAACCCAGUGCAACAUUCUAAAACCAAACACAUUGCAUUGAGGUAUCACUUCAUUAAAGAUCAUGCAGAAGACGCAAACGUAGAGAUUCAUUUUGUUCGAACUACUGAUCAACUGGCUGACAUCUUCACCAAAGCCAUUCCUGAAGCAAGUUUCAAUAAAAUUAUACAAGGACUAGGUAUGAUGGAAUCGGAGUCAGUACCAAAAACUACUUCUCAAAACUAAAAGUUGGAAGCGAAAUGAACCGAACGUUCGGGUUUGGUUCACGUGAGUGCCGAAAUGAACCGAGCGCUCGGGUUCGGUCCUUUUCUCUUAUCUUCGCUUAUUACUUAAAGGUAGUUUCUUUGGUUGUAAAGUUUUUGUACUAUUAUUUCUCAGUUUCAUAUUUUUUUUCUUUUCUAUCUCUCUCUUUUUCAAAGUUUUUUUUUAAACCGAAAUGAACCAAGCGUUCGGUCUAUUUCGGGUUCGGUUCCAAAGUUUUUUUUAUUUUUUCUUUGUCUGCUUUAUUUUUUUUAUAUAUCAAAAACUCCAAAAUAUUUUAUUUAUUUCUUUAACACAAAAACUCCAAAAAUAUUUUUGCUUGUUUUUCUCUUUAAAUCAAAAACUCCAAAAACAAUUUUUUAUGUUUGUGUUCGUUAAUUUUUAUUUGUGGAUAUUUGUGUGGAAAUUCUAGUUCUCAUGUUUUUAUUAGUUAAGUGUCCCUACAAGCAUGCUGCUGUAUGUGUCCAAAGCCUCACUUGAUUCUGAAUAAUAGUCUUCCUGACUAGGUAUAUACAAACCUUGUCUUCCUAAUUAGGCUUUUAUAUUGAUUCUAAUCAUGAGUUACCUUACUCUAUUCUCACAUGAGAUAAGAGUUUACUGCUUGGUCCUUAUUUUAACAACAGAGGUACUUUGAUUUCUUUACACCAUCUCCAACACUUUUCUCCAUUCUAUUCGCCUCAUACACGUAACCGUUGAAACUCUCAGAAAUUACCACUGAGGUUUAUGGUUACACAAUUUCUGUGUUCAUGAUCUUAGCUUCGUGCCACUACGUGCUAAGUGAAACCCACAAUUCAAUACCUUCUAUGAAUUGAUGGUGAACAAUUAAAUUUGCUCUAGUUUUCACUAAAGAAUUGACGAAUUUACCCAUGGGGCUGUACCUUCAAAUCUCUGAAUUUUCUCUAUGUGUGAUUCCUAUGAAAUUGUUAAAUCCCAUAACAUUUCUUUCCUUAGAAUCCAGUUUAAAUUUAUUUUUUUUGAGAUUUGCCCUAAAAGUAUUUUCAAACUACGACUUAAAUUCUCUUCACACCUACUUGUUCAACGGACUACAUUGGUCUCACCAGUACUUCAGUCGAUUUCUGUCUUAUGUCAAGAUCAGGAAUUUUUCACUGAAGCGAAAGCCAACCCAAUUAGCCUAAUUAAAAGAUGCCUUUCAACACUUCUCAAUAAGUGUCUAAUCGUAAUUCAACGGGAAACCAAACAAACACUUUAAGGUCUCUCUUGGAAGGAAGAGAUUCGUGCCCGGGAUCCAUUGUUUCGUGUCUUUACUGACAUCACAAUUUCCCACAUAUGUGUUGCUUUAUUUCUUUUUCUUUUACACACUAUGCACAAAUUUUUUUUUGAUUUUCCAUAAUUCUGGUUUCAAUACUUACAAGCUAUUUUUCGGUAUGGAAUUUGAGGUUAUACAAGAAAUGUGGAUCACAAUGUUACACGUGGUUAUUUUGCUUUAUGACGACAGCUCACUCUAAAAGGGAUAAGUUGCUGACUCAGCCGAAAGUCCAAUCGGUUUGAUAUUUCAAACGGCGCUUGAUGGGAAGGCGUGUGAAGUGGAACCGUUUUUGACAUUUCAAACGGUGCCUGAUGAGAAGGCGUGUGAAACGGGACAGUUCUUCUCUCUCCUGCGUAAUCAUUGGGGCUCCUAACUGUUACGCGUCAAUCACCUAAGGAAACUCUUCGUAUUUCCCUUGAAGAUUUGGGAACAGAUUUUUCUCUCUCUUCUCACCACGGUAUAAAAGGUAAUUUCUACCAUAAUUUACCUCUUUACUGCACCAAAUAUUUAGAGAGCAAGAAAAGCUUCGAUACUUCUACUGUUCAUCAUCUCUCCCAAAUUCCUCUCUUCAAUGGCGGACUCAUCCUCAGUUCAUGCUAUUUCUCACAUUCUGCCAAUCCGUCCUUAGCAAAGCUUGAUUAUCGACCUCACUCCUCAAGUUUAUGAUGCAUUCAUGUUUCCAAUCAUGGAAUGUCUCAAGUAUUCUCUGCUGGUUCAAGCUCUCAACAAGGUCGAAACAGUUCCCAUGGAGUGUCUCUCGUAAAUCUUCUCCACAGCCCACUAUGAAAAGUCUGUCGAUCGAAUCUUCUUCGACAUUCUUGAUCACAAGGCAUCAAUCUCCAAGCAGCGAUUUUGUUCGCUUUUAGGGUUUGCACCCGAUGAAUCUAGGGUUAACCCUGAAUCCAUCCCAGUGGGUCAGUUUUUUUCCAUGUUUUAUAACAUGGGAUACACUGAGAUUCUGACGACGGUCACGAAAUUCAAGAAAUCGUGCUUGCCUCCUCAGUGGAAUGGGUUCUUCACCGUUUUGUUCAAGGGGUUAUCAGAACGCAGUGUCGGUUCAGACGGUGCAAGUCGUCUGUUUAUGACCAUUCUUUAUGGGAUAUACCACGGCAUCAACCUUGAUUAUGGGUCGGUUUUAUGGCAGCAGCUGAUUCAGAGUCUAGCAUCUACAUCUCGCCAUUCAGAGAUCUCCUACGCUCGCUUCUGGAUGCUGAUCACAAAGUGGGUGAUGGACAAGUAUCAUGUUCCGAUUGUUGCUGAUUCUCCACUCUCUUCGAUAGGUACUUUCCACACUACGAAGAUAAUCGUCUCUGAUUCAUCUAAAUUUCAGUUCGUUCUCUCAAUCCCUGAGUCCAUGUAUGGAGAUGUUCCAAGCGAUAGCCGCAUCAUCAGAACUUAAAAGGAGUUUCGUCGCUUUGGUCCUCGAGAGCUCACUCCUGACAUGGUUCAAUCAAUCCAUGAUGCUGACAGGCCCGCUCCAAGGGGAAAGAAAAAUGACAAGGGAAAAGACAAGAAGGUUGUCAAGUUAACGAAAGGUCCUUCUCCGAAGAAACGAAAACCUACCAAAGCAGCUCAAUCUCCUCCACCAAAGAAGAGGAAGACUCAACCGAGGCGAAAGCUGAUUCUUGCCUCCUCCUCCAGUGAAUCUGAGGAAGAGAGUUCAGACUCCGAAGAGUCCCUACGUGGUAACACUCGUCCACGUUCGCCUACCCCUGAGGUACAUGUUUCCACUAAAGCCUGUCUCUCCUCCACCAAUCUCCAUUUCUAUUUCCAUUCCCCCCAUAACCUCCACUACUCAAAUACCACCCACCUCUAUCCCUGUACCACCUCCCAUUUUCACUGAAGCUACAACAACAACCACUGAUAGAGUUAGAACUAACGUAUCUGAUAUGGGGGCUCCUACUUCAGCACCCGAACCCACUCCCACUACCGAACAUACAUCCGCACCCGAACCCACUUCCACAACCGAGCCGCCACCCUCUCCCUCAUCUCCUGCUCACUCGGCAGAUACUGAAGAACCUUUUCUUGGCGGAGAAAACAUGACAUUUGACUCGGUCUAUUACAGUCCGUAUCAAAUGCAAAGCGAUGAUGACGAUGAUGCUCCUGUCACCAAAAAGCAUCUAAAGGAGCUUCAUGACAAAAUUGAUUCUCUCAUUACUUCCUCCUCUUCUUCCUCACAGUCUACCAUCUCUGAGGCUGUUAUUCAGGGGAUUGUUGAUGCUCUUACUAAGUCUCAUGAAGCCUCCAUCAUCUCAGCCACUGCUGCUAUUGAUGCCUCCACCAAGACAUGUGCUGCUGCGACCGAAAAAGUCGAAAAACUAUUUGUUGACGCUUCUUCUAUUUUGCAGUCUUUACAGGGAACUGCUGAUUCCAAUGCCGAAAAAGUCGAAAAACUAUUUGUUGAGGCUACCUCAGUUGCCUAUGAACUGCAAUCGUUCUCCAGUCUUCAUCAAGCUCUCAGCGAUGACAACUCAUCGUUUAAGGCGACUAUUGAGGAGCGCCUAACUAAGCUGCAUGAAGACCUAGCUGCCGAGAACUCAUUCAUGAACGCUCUCACUCGUAAGACCACAGCUCUCAAGGUCAACAAUCUUCAUCUUUUCCACUCUCAAAAGGAAGUUGAAUCUCUUCGAUCUAAGCGAGAGGUUAUUUCUUCAUGUGUUUCAGAUGUUCACGCUGCCCUUUCCAACAUCCUUGAAGCCCAUGAUAUGAUCCUAAAUUACUCAGUGAGGCGCACUCUCGCAGAGCAGCUUGCUCCUGUCCUUGCUCUCCUAAGCAAAAUUGAAGGGCUCCUUGAGUUCGUGUCCAUUCCGAAACAAGGGGGAGAAUAUGUAUCUCAACCGCCUCCCACUUUUACAUCAACUAAAGCAACCGAACCUCCUUCAGUAGGUCAAGCCUCAGGUUCGGGUGUCAAAGACAAAGGAAAGAAGAUUCUUGAAGAUAGUGAUGAUGAUGAUAAAGAGACAAUUGCAGAUCUCUUAAAGAAACAAGGCAGAGAUAAAGAUGCUGACAUGAGCGCUCGGGUUGCCAGAGAGGCUGAGGCGACUGAAAGAAAAAUGAAGGAGGCUCAUGAUCUUCUUGAGAGUACGAAAACCCUUUUUCCUCCGUGGACUCUUGAGAAGCUUUUGAAAGAAGCGAUUGAAACUCCCAGCAUUUUGUGGCUCGAACCAGUGAUUUCGUUGGAUUGUAUCAACUCUGUCGAUUCACAGUUCGACAUGCCACUGACCCGAAAAGCCUUUGUCUUCCACGCCUUUGAUAACGUUGUUGAUGUCCCUCAUCCUCAUCCAAAGGUUGAUAGGGAACUCGUCGAAUUCUAUGUAAAGUCUGCUCAACCACAGUAUCAAACUUGGAGCGCUCAGAAGAUAGUCAACGUUAGGGUCCUCAAGCCGUUUCGUGAGGGGAACUUCACGAACUUUCGGUUCAAAGUGCUGAGGGGUUCUGCUAAAACCGAACAUGCCAUAUCGCUUGCUGAUCUUCCCAACUUGAAUCCACAUGACUGGAUUAUUUUGCACAACAUCCUCCUCACCAAUGAAGCUGAGUAUGGUCCGAUUAUNCCGAUUAUCGCACUUCAAGAGGAUGCUCGUAUGCUACAUUAUGGAAAUUGCCAAGAUGGAUCAGGAGAUUGCUAGCAUCUUCAAGAAAAAGCCCACUAUUUUUCCGGUUGCCUCUGCUAGUGAUUUGAACAUGAUGCAGAUGGGAAGGAUCGAACCGAAACGGAAUUAUGUCAUGUUUACAAGGAACGAAGGCCAAAAAUGCCUGUUCGCUUUGGCUGACAAACAACUCUACACCACUGCAUGCCUGGAACAUGUUCUAGGAAUCAUUCAUCGGUGCAAGCAGAAUUCAGCAGACGACAAGAAGUACUUCGAUGACAUGAUCCAGUGGUACAUUCUCUUCAGACAGACAAUCCUUGCUCUUAUCCCACGUCUGUUUGAAACCACUAAGAAAGUUCCUGCAGCUGGACCCAGCAAGAAGAAGUGCUAGUCUCGCUCCAAUUGACGCAAAGGGGGAGAUUGUUAGGUCCAAAAGGUGUUGCGUCUUGGGCUCGCUAGUUAGACCAUUUAGACUCCGAUAUGGGCCUGUCCAUCCGAGAGUUAUUUUAUAGGGUUUUGUAUUUAUAGGUGCUUGCAUUCAUCCUAGUACAUAACGUUUUGAGCAGAUUUAAUCUUUGAUCUUUUGUAACCCUAAAUAGCCUCUAAAACGGAAGUUCUUAGUCGAGCUCUGCUGAGGCGUGAAUAUAUUGAAGCAUUCAACAUAUUUUCAUUCAUUCUUGUGUUUGAUCUUUCAGUUAGUAUUUUUCUGAUUAACCUGUUUGAAGAUCUAAACGAUCAUAGAGUUUUUCGACUCAUCAGGUUUCAAGAACAAAUCAAGAAUAGACCUUAUAAUACAUCACUAGCACACGACUUGAGGUUUACAACCUAUCGUGAUUUUGUUUCUGUUCCAUUCCAAAUUGAGUUAAUUAUGCAUGUGAGUUCUACGAGUUCUCAAUAGAUUGUAUAGGGGCAAGGCACCUUGUUCAAUGGAAAGUAAAUUGAAAUAAAGGGGUGAGCUGCUAAAUAACUUGGAAGCAAUGGUGGGACCCUUGAUGGCAAGAAAUUAAGAAGAGCAAGUUCUAUCCAUAAGAGUUCUGUCACUAACAUUAUCUUGUGAUUAUGGUUAUGAGAAAUUCACAUGGAUUAGAACGAAUACAACACAAAAUCUAAGUGUCGUAAGGUUUCUUUUAUUCAUAAGAAUGAUUGUAAGGAAACGCUUUCACUAAGAGAGAUUUUGAGGAUGGCAUCAUGUGAUUUGGGUUUCUCAAAUUCAACUUUGAUUACGGCAUACCUCUUCAUAGUUCGAAUUGUGGGAAAUGGAAAAUAGGUCUGAACAUCUUAGACUAUUGAUAUGAGUCAUAGAAUCGUUUAGACAUAUACAUAUGAGCUGUCCAAGGAAAAGUGUAUGCUGGUAAAGAAAUAAUCAUCAUGAAAGUGGGAGCGUGAUUAUUAUGGUAAGUAUUGCAAGUUAGCAAUAUUAAUUAUAGAAAACAAGAGUUAUACUUUGCAAAGUUGUAAAAGUUGAAAAGUUGUUUUUCUAUAAUUAAGGGAGAGAAUAUUGUACUUUAUUCAAAAUCUAAAGCUUAGAUUGACAAACUUUAAUAAAUUUAGUCAAAGGAUACAUAGUGUCUUCUUAAAUUUCAAUUAUGAUUAUGGUAUCCCUCUUCAUAGUUCGAAUUGUAAGAACGUGACACAUAAAAUAUUAUGGCAAAAGAUUGAUUGAGUAUUGUAUCUUUAUGUAGGACAUUAUGCAUCAUGUCCCAUACGCUUCGGGUAUAGGAUCGAUUGCAAGUAUUAUAAUAUUUGACCAUUCUAAAAUUUUUCCAUAUGUCUAGCGCAUUAAGAGGGAAAAAGGACAAGAAUUGGUAUUAACUAAGAUAAUUAAACAACUAUCAAAGGACGAUCUAAAGUUCGCUGAGGAUUGGUCGUUUGUGAGUAGUUGGAAGUAUGGUAUUGAAUGGACCAUAUUGACAUUAUUAUCAAUAGAUAAGAUUCUAUUAAGAAUGAGUUGUCAUAUGGUAAAUAUGGAAAUGUUUCCAUAAUUGUGAAUUGGAAAUUAAGAAUUUAUGUCUAGAUUAGAAAAUUUUAUGCAAAAGGAUGUUCAAAGGAAUGUACUUUUAGUGAGAGACAUCACAUCUAUAGAAUUUUUCUUUAACAAUUUUGAUAGAGUACCUUGUGAUUUUGUUGGCCGAGUCUUAGUGAUUUUGUGUCGUGACUUAACAAGAGGAUCAUUGCAUAAAAUAUUAGAAUUUGACAUAUUCUAAAAGGUGGCAAGAAUUUGGUGUUCUUACACUAAUUAUAAGGAUUGAGGAUUGUGAAAUGAGUUUCAUUUGAAAAGUUUUUCAAUUGAUCUAUUACACAAAGUAUGGACCAUAGGAAACCAAACUGUACAUGCUUGGAGCAUAGGACAAUUGUGGUUAUGAUUCGAGUUAUAAAGUUGAUUAUCUGAAACAUUAAACAAUGGGCAAUGAGUAAUCGAUAUGGUGAUAAAUAAAAGGUGUUUUAUUUAUACUCAAAGGUUUCGGACCAUUUAGGAUUAGUAUUAUUCUUGUGUUUCGCUUUGCAUGUUUUGACUUCUAGGAUAAUUGAGUUUAUUAAGAAUAAUCGAAUUAUUCAAACGGUCCGCAGUCGGUCACACGUUGGAAGUAGGUAUGAUUGAAGACUGUCAUGAAUUGGUUUGUAGAUUGUCUAAAGUGUAUUAGACAUAGCAAAGGUUUGUUGCAACGUUCAUGAGUGCAUAUGAAUAUGAUUUUGUGCAUUGGAUUAAACCCAUGCUCACUUGGAUCGCUUCAUGGAUUUUGUCACGAGCAAUUGGUGAGACGAUAAUAUCUUGUAUUCUUGAAACCGAAAUGUGUGAGUUGUAUCUUGCGAAUCAGUUACACAUUGAUAAUAUGUAAACGCACCAGUAACUUGGUGUUACAAAACAUAUUGUUGUGUGUGAUAUGGUGAGUGAGUGCAAGCAAACAUUGAGUCGAAGUUUAUCCGUUCCUUUUACCCAAAGUGGGAUAAAAGCGAUAUCUGUGGUCCCCUCGAUGAUUUAGUGAUGACAAACGUAAAUGCUCGGCCGGGCUAGGGCUAAUUUGAUUUGUUCAAUUAGUCAUUCGUCAUAAAUCGGAAAUCAGGAAACAACACAUACACUGAGAGAAUGAUUUCAAUCCAUGUGUCACGUCUAUACGAUAUCUAGAAUGGAGGAAUAUAUGAUCCCUUAUCUAAAGGACAGGUUGCUGAUAAGAUCAUAGUUCGACAGCGUCUUUGAGAGCUACGAUUGCUGAUCGGGUAGCAAUUAAUAUUAUAGUUACUAGACUUAUCCAAGUGGGAGACUGUUGGAUUAGUGUCUAAGCCCGUAACCAUAUUUGUCAAGUACUUGACCCGAUUGUGCAUGGUCCUUUUCGGUUGCCUUCACCAAAGCAACUUGACUGGAGAAAUAAUAGAGAAAGAGGUUAUUAUGAUUUAUUAAUAUGUUAUAAGAAUAAUAUAUUAAAGGAGAAAUCAUAUUUGUUUAAUUAAUAUUGGUCAAUAAUUAAUCAGGAAUUAAUUUUGUGAUCAAGUGUAAUUAAUUAAACUAGAGGGGCUGAAUUGUAAUUAUGUGAUAGUUGCAAAAUAGGGCAAUGGUUAUCCUUGUUAAAGGAUGGACGAAUUCAAGGAUAAGGAUAUCCUUGAAAUCGUGCAAGGCCCAAGAGAUAAGGGUUUUUCAAGGCCCCUUGGCAAGUAACUGGAUAAGGAUAAGGACUGAAACCCUAAUCCCAACCCUAUAAAAAGACCCCUUGGCUAAUGAAAUUCGUCCAUGCCUUCCCAAGGGUUCCUAGGGAUGAAAGUCUAUACCUCUCCUCUAGCCUCUCCAAUUGCUUGUGGUGUUUGUGAGCCAUUAGAGGCACUACACUUGUGGUGCUUGCUUUCAAGACUUAAGGUUUGAAGAUUUGAGUAGUUAUUGCAAUAUAACAACAAGAGGUAUGUGUUCUAACCUUCUUGGUUAAUUUCGAAAGUUGUAGGCCACAUUAGGGUUUCUUUAUGUGUUCAUAAUGUUGUGUAUCUAAUAGUGAAAACAUAGAUCCAAUUCUAGGGUUACAUGCACACAUAGAACUGUUUGUAUAAAACCCAUCAAGUAUAACUUUUUAAGAUCCAAAUACAUCUUAUCUGAAGUUGGGUGGAUGGAAUACCGAGUGUUGUGUGCCUCGGUCAUGACCUAGUUUCGGAAGCCACCGUGUUUUGGUGUCCAGAUCCGAUCCAUUAAAUAUAAUGUUCCGCCACCCUUGGCUUCUAACUUUUUAUCCAUUCCUCUACGGGAUUCACCCGCCACGUUUUCAGGUUUCAAGGCUUCAAGCUGAGCCUCCUGAAUUUGUGUAGACAAGUGUGAAUGGAUAGUCAUUGUCAACGAUUUAACCCUGCGACGAGAAUAUUCUUUCCGACUCAAGGCGUCUGCUACUACAUUGGCUUUACCCGGAUGAUAACGAAUUUCGCAUUCGUAGUCAUUAAGUAGUUCGACCCACCGUCGUUGUCUCAUGUUGAGCUCCUUCUGAUCGAAUAUGUGUUGUAAAUUCUUGUGGUCAAUAAAAAUGGUGCUUUUCGUGCCAUACAGGUAAUGUCUCCAGAUCUUCAGGGCUAACACAACUGCCCCUAGCUCAAGAUUGUGUGUGGUGUAGUUGACUUCGUGUGUCUUCAGUUGUCUCGAGUCAUAGGCGAUGACCUUACCACGUUGCAUCAGAACACAACCGAGCCAUUGGUUGGAUGCAUCACACUAUACCACGAAGUCUUCUAUCCUUUCAGGGAGGGAUAGUAUCGGUGCGGUGCGUAAUGCUCAUUUCAACGUUUGAGACGGUUUUUCUUAUGUCUCUUCCCAGUCAAAGGCCACUCCUUUCUGGGUCAGUGUAGUAAGAGGUUUCGCAAUCUGGGAAAAGUUCUGUAUGAACUUGCGGUAAUAGCCAACGAGACCUAGAAAUUGACGAAUUUCUGUAGAUGUCUUCGGUGCUGACCAGUUCUCAAUGGCUUUAAUUUUCGAUGGGUCCACGUGGAUUCCCUCCUUGCUAACCACGUUUCCUAAGAAUUCAACUCUUCAGAUCCAAAAUUCACAUUUAGAGAACUUCGCAUAGAGCUUCUCUGUUCGUAAAGUUCCUAGAACUUUUCGCAGGUGAUCGCCAUGUUCUUCCUUAACCCGAGAGUAGAUCAGGAUGUAAUCAAUGAAGACAAUGACGAAUUGAUCCAAGUAAGGACGACAUACUCUAUUCAUUAAGUCCAUGAAUACUGCAGGCGCUGUCAAUCCGAAUGGCAUCACCACGAACUCGUAGUGUCCGUAACGAGUUCGGAAGGCUGUCUUUGGAACAUCCUCUAGCACUCGUAACUGGUGAUAUCCAGAUCUUAGAUUAAUUUUGGAAAAGUAACUCUCCCCUUGCAGUUCGUCAAAUAAAUUGUCUAUGCGAGGUAGAGGCUAACGAUUUUUGACCGUCAGUUUAUUGAGUUAUCUAUAGUCGAUACAUAUACGGAAUGAUCCGUCUUUCUUCUUAAUGAACAAGAUCAGUGCUCCCCAGGUUGGGAAGCUUGGUCUAAUAAAGCCCUUGCUGAGUAGUUCAUUAAGUUGAUCAGAUAGUUCCUUCAUCUCAGUUGGUGCUAAUUGGUAGGGCGAUUUAGCUACUGGGGUAGCUCCUGGGACUAAGUCGAUUCUAAACUCGACUUGUCGUUGCGGAGGUAAUCUUGGUAGUUCUUCUGGAAAGAUAUCGGGAAAGUCGCUCACUAUCAGAAUGUUCUUUAGUUCUUUCAUUUCUUGGCUUGUAUCAACAACGUGAGGAAGGAAUGCACGAUAUUCCUUACAUAGAUAAUUCUGUGCUUGAAUACUUGAGAUGAUAUGAAGACUCGUAUCGGGUUUGUCGCCAUAGAUAAUGAAAGUUUCGUUAGACGGAAGAUUAAAGCAUACAACCUUUUCGUAGCACAUAAUGUCGGCACGAUGAAGACUCAACUAAUCUAUGUCGAUAAUGAUGUUGAAACUUUUAAUUGAGACCGACAUGAGGUCGAUUGGAAAUGAAUGGGUAUCUAGAGUUAGGGUACAUCCUACGUAUAUACUGCUAGUGCUCUAAGUUUUCCCAUUAUCCAUUUCUACAGUGAAUGGUUCCUUAAGUGUGCGUGGUUUUUGUUUAAUUAGGCGAGCAAAUUUAUGAUUUACAAAGCUUCUCUCCGCUCCACUAUCAAACAGUAUGCAUGCAUAUGAGUUUUCAAGGAGAAACGUACCAGUCACCACCAUAGGGUCAACAACUACUUUCCCAUGGCCUAUAGCCAAAACUCUUCCCGCUCCACCAGCAUUUCUUGCUUUGGGGCAGUCCCUUUUAUAGUGUCCCACCUCACCACAUCCAUAGCAAGCCUAGCCCAUGCCAGCGUCGCGAACUUGGGUGAUCGGCCUUGCCGGAGAUUUGUAGAAAUGGACAGUGUGUCCUUUCUUGUUGCAGUUGGAGCACUGCAUUUACCGGCAGGGGGCAUUGUGGUGGAAGUUGCAUUUGUUGCACUUUGGCAAACUUCCAGCGUAUUGCUUCAACGGAGCAACAGCGGCGGGUGUUAUCGCAGCAUGAACUGCCACAAUCUGCUGCUUUUUGGCAGCUCGUUGUUUCUUCUUGUCAUCCCAGAAUUUCCACUUAUUGUCAGCGGGUUUGGAGGGUUCUGAGAUGGCCAGGGUUGUUGUUGAUAAUAGGGAUUGGUCUCUGUGAUCAAUGAGUCGAUGUGCCAAUCGUUUGGCAAUUUCGAAGGUAGCAGGGUGUGAAGAUAGGACAUUUCCCUGAUACGGAGGCACCAGCCCCCAGAUGUACCUUUCGACCUUUUUCCCCUCUGUGGGAACCAUGUUGGGAUAGAGGGCCACCAGUUCGCUGAACCUAGCGGUAUAAGCGACUAUGUUGGAGCCCCUCGUGGUCAGGCUCCACAGCUCCUGUUCCAACUUCUGGAUCUCGCCCCUUGGGCAGGACUCCUCAAUCAUGAGGUCUUUCAUAGUUACCCAGCCCAUGUCAUUUGCCACUAUGAGAGUUAGUGACUUGACAUGGCUAUUCCACCAUGUCAGGGCUUUCUCUUUGAAGGUGCACGCAUGAAAUUUAACUUUGCUCAUGCUAGGGCAGGAGCAAAUCUCGAAGAUUGACUCCAUCUUUUCGAACCAUUGCGAGAGGGCAACGACUCCGCCAGUCCCUUUGAAGGACUUUGGGUUGCAGUUGGUGAAGUCCUUGUAGGAGCACUCUCUUGAGCGCACAAGGAGUUCACCUUGAGUAGAGUUCACAGGAGUUCCACCUCUGCUGGCAUCAGUGGAGUGAUAUUGAGCCAUGGCUGUAGCCACAGCCGCAGCCACUGCAGCUUUCAGAGUUGUCGCAUCGAAUUACGAAGGACAUGGUGGUAUCAGACUUGGAGUAAUCGGAGGAUUACGCCUUCUUGAUCUGCAAGGAGGUAUCCUUCAACUAUAAGUUUAAAGGAAAGAUGUACAUGGUGGUUAGAAUCAAUGGUGAGCAUGGUGAGAGUGUUCCAUGGGCUAAAUCGCCUUAGUCCAAUAGUUGAGUGAGUGUAUGUUUUGAAAUAGCAGUAUAGUAGAAGAGUAGAGAAACACCAGAGUACAGAUUUUUCCAACAGAUUAAAUAACUGUCAAUAUUACUGGUAUUAUUGAUGUAACAAGUUCGGAAAAAAUUACCUAACAGUAGGUCUUACAUCAUACAAUAAGGGAAAAGGUUGACAGUUCUUAGAUUCCUAGUUAGGGUACUGAAAGAUAGGAAUAUUUUAUAGACAAGUGCUACAUAGAGCACAGAUACGAAAUGCUAUUCCUUGAAUCAAAAGAAAAGAUGUGCUUGACAUCUUCUAACGGCGAUGGGAAUUCCUCAGGCGAACCCUAAGAUCUGCCACUUGACGAACCACCUCUUGAAGGUGUCGCUCAUGAGCCCUCUAGGGAACUCGAAGUUCUAUGACUUCAGCUCGGGAAACAGCCAGCUGUUGAUGCAGAGUCUCAUUGGUCCUUCUGGUCCUUUCCAUUGCUUCUUGGAGACGGCGAAUGCAGACUGUGUUGACACCGGAGUUGGCAUCAAUUUCCACGAUUUCGCCGAUGGCUACUCGACCUUGCUCGAUAUUUCGAGCAAUCCUGCGGACCAUGCCAGGUAGGACUCGGUCAGCUGAGCCACCCUCGCUAAUGUUGUAAAAGCUUCGGUCCCCGUUGUAGGGUAAAGGUUGACCCUGUUCAUCGCUCCAGCGAUUUAUGUUUGUUACCUACAAGGGUGUAGGACCGUGAAACGCGGGUCGGGGUUGUUAAUUAGGGCUUGAACUACUUGGGAUAGGUUGUUGACUUCUGGCUCGAAGUCAGAACCAUCUGAGAAUCCUUCUGCGAGGUGAUCAUCCAAUGGGUCGCCAUGAUGAAAUCCAACCAUGAUCUCUACACGAGAAAAGGGGUUUAAGAAUCUUAUAUAAAUAGACGUACUACUUAAGAUAAUUAUAAGAUGAUAUUUAUCAGUUAUGUGAAGUUAAAGCCGGAUAGACCUUCGAAUAAGUGGCCCUAACUCCAAAUCCACAUCCAAACAAGGAUAGGAAGUAAAGCAAAGGUCACAGAUUCUGAGUCUAUAACACCUAAAUUUCAUAUAACCUUGGAGUAUCCACUUAAAGAUUAUUGACCUACUUGAUAGAGACCUUUUUACUUCUCAGAUACGUAAUUAUAGUAAUACAAAAUACUCCCAUAGUAUUUUAGACUUAUGUUUUGUUCUAGUGUUUUCAUUAUAGUAGUGUUGGUAAGUUUUUAGACUUGUUGCCAUAUCACAACCAUUCUAGGGUAUAUACUGAUCACUCCUCGGAGCAACAUAGUUGAUCAGGCUAUGCAUUCCCAUGACUGACCAUACAUCCCCGAGCUUACUUGUGAUAUUCAACAAUCGUAACACUUUUGUAUUUGUCAAUGUGACACUAGUUUUAGCAUGAAUGCAGUCUUAUAUACUUAGUUAAAUAUUUUAUUAUUUAAAAGUAUACACUCUUGGUCAGAGUGUUUUAUUCCCAUUGGGUUUAUAGUUAGUAUAUCUUUUAUGGGUUGAUAUACUUAAUUCACUAUAAACAAUGCUCUGAUACCAAUCUGUCACACCCCAAAACCUAGAACGGUGGAAACGUUCUGGGGCGGAGGACGUCAUGUACAGUAUCACAACACAGUAUAAUAUUAACAAGUAAACAACAUCAUCCAUUGCAUUAUAUAAGACACCAAAAUAUGAAUCAAAAUAUAAGAUGAGUCUUGUGUGCGCUCCAUCUUCUCAAAAUCUAGCAUCGGUACCUGUCUACUGAUUACCUAAGAAUACAAGUUAUUUUGAAAGAGUUUAUCAACAUUAAAGCUGGUGAGUUCAUAAGUAUUUAAUUUCUGUGUUUGUAUCAAAAUGUUUGAAACAGUGUUUGAAGUACGCGUUUGUAAACGUUUGUAGUAAAAGUAUGUGAAUGUUUGUAAGUGUUAGUAAAAGUUUGUAACCCCUAGAAAAUCCUAUCUUUUCUACUAAAAGUAGCCUUCUACCAAGGCACGACUAUUUUGUAUGUUUGUUUCUUGUAAAAGUGUGUAAUUUUCCCAAGUGUAACUAUCAUUAUCAAAAUAUAGUUAGUACAUUAACGUUUCAGUGAAGUAAUCACCAAAUAAAUGUAAAGGGUAAAUUAAUGUAGUACNUUCAGUGAAGUAAUCACCAAAUAAAUGUAAAGGGUAAAUUAAUGUAGUACUGUAGUGUUGUAUUAUAGGAACUACUGUUGUACUAACUGCCUUAAACCGGAUAUAUAUCAAGGUAUUAUGUGAUUAAUUGUACCAUACUAUUGACUAUGAAACACGACAAUGUAAGUCGUCAAAAGGUAUGACAUUUGGCACUCGAAGACCUGUCGGUCCCACUAUAGCUAGCAGUAAGGUGUAGGAUAGUCAAUCCAGUAUAGAUCUAAACACAAACUCACGCUUUCCUUCCAAGAUAUUUUGGUUACAACUCGGGCCAUGACGAUGAAGCAUGCUCUGAUACAGUGGAUCACAUUUAUGUCAUAGUAUAAUUGUAUAUAUGUAAUGUAUGUACUUGUGUAAUGAAUGUAUUGUUUCUCAUCAUAGUAUCGUUGUAUAAGUUGUCAUCAUAGUAUAGUUGCAUAAGUUCUCAACAUAGUAUAUUUGUAUAAGUUCUCAUCAUAGUAUAGUUCUGUAAGUUCUCGUAAUAGUAAGUAGUGACUCAUGAAUGAACUCACUCUUGUAUGCUUCAUUGGACUAGAAGUAGUAAGUAGUAUAACCCUAAACUAUACCUAUUAUAGUUUAUUAGUAGACUUGUUUGUGUAACUGAAUGUAUUAAACUGAGAUAAAAGUCUUUAUAUCUAUACAUAUAUACAUAAUAUAUAUAACUAAGGAUUCAACGACACUCGGACAAACAACAGGGUACUUUAAGACCACAACCAAACAAGGACAGGAAGUAAAGCGGGUUAUCAGUUCUAAGUCCUUCAAACCUUAUUUAUAUAACUAUAUAUGUAGUAGACAUGGUUUUAAGAAUAUAUAAGUUUGAAAACUGUAAAAGAAAGGUUUAGUAUACAAAAGUGAAUUUGAUAAAGAGUUGAUAUGUAAAAUGGUUUGAUAAGCAGUUUGAAGUCAUCUGUUUGGUAAAAAACAGUUUAAAGUAUUGAAAAUCAAUUUGUAUGCUAGUUAUUAAUCACAUGUGAUUGAUCAAAUAACUAAAAUGAAUCAACUUGUAUUCCCCCCCCCCCUAAAAGUAUUUGAAAAUAUUUAAUAACAUUUCAAAGAUUAAUUAAGGGGUAUAAACUCUCCCGUAGUGAAUGGAUUGUACUAAAGUGUUGGACAAGGUGAUAGGUGUCAAGUGAGGACUUGAACACACACAAUGAUCCUAGUUAACAUAUAAUAAACAUAUAUGUAUCUAAUUAGACAUUUAACUACUAAUUAAUCAAGUUAAGACACCCUAGGAUAUGGAAACACUUUGAUUCAAGUGUUAUUGGUACCAACGGGUUGCAUCUAAGGGUUGUAUGGCAUGGCAUUGGAGUUUAUGGCGCAAGGACCACUCCUUAUGGAGUUCACGACCCAUGACCAUUUCCCCAUGAAUUUAUGGCCGUAAACUCAUGGUACUAAGUGCCAAAUUGUGUUUUGAGGUCUUACAAGUCAUGUUUUAGCAUCCGAUGAUCAAGUCCAAGCCUUAGGAAAGCAUUAAAGGCACACUAACACUACCUUGUAGAGUUCAAGGCCUAAGGACCAUAUCCUUAUGUGUUUACGGCGGACUAGUUUUGAUUGUUGUUUAAGGUCUUAAACAUUUCUAGGAAGGAUCAAGGUUGGCAUCCAAGGCUUAGGAAGGAACUAGGGUCCAUUUAGCCACCUUAAGAGGGGUUCACGGCCCAAGAACAUCCUUGGCCGUGAACUCCUUUGUUCUUAUGAUUCUUGAUGAUUUUCAAGUGUUAUAAAGUUCAUAUUAAGCACAAAAGAAGCUAGGGAAAGUGUACUUACAAGAUAGAAGCUUGAUUGGGUGUUUAAGGUGCAAGAACACUAGUGUGUGUUCUUGGUGUUCUUUGUGUUUUGAAGAACGCUUGAAGAUCUAGCUAAAAAGCAAUAAUGAAUGGAUGAAAUGACGUAUAACUACUAGAUAUUAGGUUAUAACAACAAUUCAAGUCGAGAAUUACUUACAUUUUCUGAAGAUCGGGUGAAGAACGGGAUGGUAGUUGAGAGAGAAUGGGGAGUGUUCUUGAGGGUGAAAGUGAAAAAUGAACCAAUUGGGGAGUAAACUCAUGUCUAAGCCAUGAGUUCACGGCCAAGAUAGAGUUCACAGCCCAAACUCCCUUUGUUUUGCCGUGAACACCUAACUAAGGUGUUGGUUGUUCCAUUGCUAUCCCGAUAUUCUAGAAAUCACUUCCUUUUAUCCGUUCGAUUCAUGAAAAAUAAAUAAAACUACUCAAACGGAGAUUAAAUCGGCUAAAAAUUAGCAGAAAUGUAAUUAACUUUUAAUUGAAGUGCUUGACUUUAGAGUCUGUACAAUUGAAAAUUUUGGGUUGUCACAUUGUCUCCCCAUCUUCUUUGAGAUUAGAGACUUGAAUCUUUAAAUUUAUAUUUUCACUUAGGAGAUCUUCAACUUGGAUGCUAAGCUCAAUGUUCUUCUGAUCAAGCACAUUUACUCUUUUUUGAAGUUCAUUGAUUACAUAAUCUUCAUCUCUAGACUGACCCUCAUUAAAAACGAUCCCUUUUGCCUUAGAAGCAGUUGCACCGGUUUGGUCUUGAGCCAAACGAAUGGAAGCUUCUUCAUGAUCUGUCCCUAGAGGAGAGAACCCUGGUGGUAUAGAGGGACCACCGGUUUCAAAAACGGUACUAGGGCCUUCACUAAAUGGUUAUGCAGUUACGAUAGCCGGAGUAGUAGUUGGAGUAGUAGGCACGCCUUGAGAAAGGCCAGAGUCCAAAAACUCGUCCCUAGGAUCUCUUCUUCUCCUUUUUGAUGGAGGCUGCACUGUCUGGUCUUCUUGUUGAUCAUCUUGAAGUGGUUCAAAUAUGGGCAAUGCACUGUCAAGUGGAGGAAUCCCUGACACUGUCAUCAUAGGAGUUGAAGAACCAACCACUUGCUCUUGAGAAACGGGGGUUGAAUUAAAAACGUCUUUCUUUUCCCUUGUCUCCAUUACUGGGAUAGUAACAUCACUGACAUUAUCUAGCAAAGAUUUGAGAUUUACACUUCUUAAGAAGUCAUCAUUUCUUCCAAAAGUCUCAGGAAUGUCAUCUUGAUCAAAUCCGGUAAGAUCAAGGUCUUCAAAUUGGUUAGGUUGCGUAGUGUUCUUAGAGGAUCCCUCAUUGCAAUAUCCUUCGAUUUGAACAUUUUGUAGAUUAUGUUCCUCUGCAACUAAUACAGCAUGAGCAUCAGUCUCUUCUCCUUCUUGAUUCGAUACAGUGACCAUAUCUCCUUCUGAAAUAACCCUUUCCGAUGAAGUAUGCUCUGAAGAAAUUUUUUCUGACGAUCCAUAAGACUCGGUUGCUUUCUUUGGUUUGGCAAAUCGUCCGAACUUGACCAAUGAAUGCAACCCUUAAAAGACUACCUUCCCCCUGUAGUUUUUCUUAAUGAGCCCAAUAGUAUGAGGACCCAAAGACUUCAUAUCCAGUGUUUCUCCAUCCUUCGCCAAAUUGGGAAAUUGCUUGUUGAUGAAGAGUUGAAUGAAUCGAGGGUACAUUAAGAAAUUAUCCCGAGUAGUGGAAUUAAUGUUGACCACAAACUCGUCUAGAAUAAAUCGAGAAAAGUUGAAGCCAAUCCCUGCAGCGAGAGAAACAAUAACGCCAGUGUUUCUCAGGCAAAUCUCAUCAGCACCGGACCUUCUGCCGGAGAUACAGCUCACGAGCACAUGGAGUAGAAAUCUCCAAUAGGGCAGCAGAAGUUUCUUCAUUUUUGGUGGAGUAUCACCCUCGUAUCCCAUCUUCCUUAGAAUCUUUUGAGCAUCACUAAUACCAAUUUCCAUUGGAAAGCUCGGAAGGUCAUUAAUCAGCAGAGUCUCUCUCACAAAGUUCUCAUCAAUGACAAUCUUGCAUCCCUGAACGAUCGCAUCUACAGUGAGAGCUCCAUUAUCGUCCCUUGUCAUCUUGGCAGUCUACCAGAACUCACGAAUCAUUUUCUGGGACACAACAUCAGAAUUUGCAGUCAACGAGGGUUUACGGCCGUAAACCCUUGACCGCAUGUUAAUGACCACAUGGGGGAGUUUACAGCCGCAAACACCUUACGGCCGUAAGCAUUGACCGUAAACUCCGAAACCCCUUUUUGUCAAUUUCAGCCUCAAAAACACGGUUAAUCACGAAACGAGAUGCAUAUUCCUGGUCGAAAAUGCUGUACCUUCAAGACUAUCGGAUUAAUUUCGCAAAAAUUGAUGAAAAAAAUUUCGGAGGACAGAGUUUGCGGCCGAAAUCAAGAAAAUGAUAGAGAUUCCGUCUGUAAACCUCCUUUUAUGCCCACCUUUCAUUUACUUGAUAACCGCACAGUAUAAGGCAGUCUCCAACACAGUCCAAUUAUUAUUUAUUUUUAUCUUUUUUUUUAACUUUAAAAAACCAAUCUUUUGAGUAUUAAUAUUAACACUAUAAUAAAUAAUAAAAUUAAAUUAAAUUAACUUUGCAAAAUUUAAAAUUAAAAAAGUUUUCUUUUAUUUUAGCAGUUAACAAAAUAAAAAUUAAAAAUAAAAUAAAAAUAAAAAUAAAAGUAAAAUUAAAAUGAAAUUGACUCCAACUAUAAUAUACAACUUAAAAAUUUAAUUGUUGAGAAUAAAUUUGUGACGCUGGGAUCAAAGUUGUUGGACAGCCUUAUUCCACUUGUUGGUACCCUUAUUUUCACAUCUUCGUCUGAUCGAUCGUCAGGAUUGUGGUCCACUUAAACACGAAAUAUUUGUGACAUAAUUUUGGAAAAUUUACCAAUAAAAUGACAUUUUUAGCCCUUAUUCUUAAGUAAAUUUCUUAGGGACCAUUUAUUUGACGACAACCAGGGAUAUUGUUGUCCACCUAAAUCGAGCAGCGAGAUCUACAGACAAUCUGUAUGUGUUCAAUUUUAAUUGUACUAUAACAUGUUUCCCACUUCCUGAUAUGCCCCAGCCAUCAAGGACUUCCAGAAUACUCCUUACACCGGGUGAGCAGACAAUUAUUAAGAGAGAAGAUAGAUUUAGAAAGUAUAUGUUGUACAUCCAGGUUGGAUCUCUUCCAAUCACAAAAAGGAUGAAACAUAUGACUAACUGAGGUUUUUAGAGGGAUUGAGAAGAGAAUGGUGCAUAUACUGUGUACCAGGUCGGAUUUUGUGUCACGCAAAGGAGACAGUAUUUGGCUAACAGAGAGAAAGAAUUGCAUAGAGAGAAGAUGCAGAAAGAUAGAGUUGCAUAUGUUACGGUCCAGGUCGGAUCUCUCGAUCACGCAGAGGAGGCAACAUAUGACUAAUAGACAGAAAGAAAGAAAAUAACCUUCUACAGACCUAAUUUCUCGGAAUUCCCCAGUCGCCCCAUCCAACCAGAAUUAAGGACAGAAUCCGCACAUUGAAGAAAAGUAAAUCUACAGCUCUAGAUACGGGUUCAUUAGUGUGACCGGUAGAUUCUCAUGUAUAUCUCCCUGCUCAACCUAUCCGAGUGUCGUAUUGUCAGGAUAAACGGAUCUAACUAGGUCAAUGUUUGUCAAGUCCUUGAAUUCAUUAAGUUCAACUCUCCCAAGUCAAAUCCAUUUAAAAUCUUUCGUGCCUACCAGCGCAUCCAGCACAGAGCAUAGACGAUUCAACUUAGGUACGUUACGCAGAUUCAGAUUGCCCAUUAUCACUUGCUAAUUUCAUUUCUCGUCACAACACCUGCAAACAAGACUAUCAGCAAUAUUUUUAAUUUUCUGAAUUUUUUAUUGUUUUUGGAUUUUUGGAUUUUUAUUGUUUUUGGAUUUUUCUCCCCCUAAAUUUGUGCAUGAGUGAGAAUAAAAAUAAAAUGAAAUACGCAAAUUUAACUUAACCUUCCUACAGAAACCAAAACAAAUUUAAUAAAUUUAGAAGAAUUAAGAAAAGAAAAAAAUAGAAAAAAAAAACUUAAUCCUCAAAACGAAUCAUUUUCAGAAAUCCCACAAGCACAUCGAAGCGAGCUUUGUUAAAGGGCAUAGUGAACAGAUCCGCCACAUUAUUAGCAGUGGGAACCUGUUCCAGCCGGAUUAGCGAACGUUCAUAACAGUCUCUGAUAAAAUGAAUUUUAAUAUCGAUGUGCUUGGUUUUAGAGUGUUGGACUGGAUUUUUGGCAAUUUGAAUUGCAGCCUCAUUAUCACAGUAAAUGGGGGUUUCUAAAUAAUUCAAAUCGUAGUCCAACAGCUGAUGUUGUAUCCAGAUAACUUGAGAGCAGCAAGCAGAUAAAACAACGUAUUCCGCUUCCGCUGUUGAGGUUGAAACAGUGUGUUGUUUCUUGCACUGCCACGACACUAAUCUGCCACCAAGAUAUUGACACCCUCUCGAGGUAGAUUUCCUGUCAAGCUCAUAGCCACCAUAAUUACUGUCUGCAAAAGCAUAUAAAUCAAAUUCAGAAUUCUUCGGAUACCAAAGAACCAAUUUUGGGCUACCUUUGAUAUACCGAAAAAUUCUUUUGACAACAAUAAGAUGUGAAAGUUUAGGAUUAGCCUGAUCACGUGCACAUUGACAAGCUACAAACAUGAUGUCAGGUCAGCUUGCAGUAAGAUACAUCAGCGAUCCGAUCAUCAAUCUGUAGAGCGUCUGAUCUACGGAUUCUCCAUCAGGAUCCGGAGUCAGGAGAGGUCUUUCAGCCAUUGGCGUCGAUGUAGAUUUGGCGUUGUGAAACCCGAACUUCUCAAGAAUAUCUUCCACAUACUUGGCUUGAUGUAACAAGAUCCCGGUUGAAUUUGGUUUGACCUGAAGCCCCAAAAACAUGGUCAUUUCCCCAACGAACUCAUUUCAAACCUCUUUUUCAUAACACCUUCGAAUUCUUUGCAGAGUUGCGGACUGGUCUACCCAAAGAUAUGUCGUCAACAUAGAUUUGCAUGAGUAUCUGAUCAUUACCGACAUGCUUGAUAAACAAAGUCUGAUCAAUAGUGCCACGAGAGUAACCAUGCUCGAGAAAAUGCUUUGUCAGAGUUGCAUACCACGCUCGAGGAGCUUGAUGUAACCCAUACAAUGCUUUGUCCAACUUGUAGACAUGAUUAGGAAACUUUGAGUUAACGAACCCAGGAGGUUGAUCAACGUAGAUUUCUUCCUUCACCCUGCCAUACAAGAAGGCGGUCUUGACAUUUGCUAGGAAGAUACGAAUAGCCUCCAAGGGAGCUACUGGAUCAUAAACUUCAGUGUAAUCAAGACCCUCGACCUAUCGAAACCCGCGAACCACCAAUCUAGCUUUGUUCCGCACUAUAACCCUUUAAUCAUCCUGCUUGUUUCGAUAGACCCAUCGUGUAUCAAAAUACUGUUUGCCCUUUGUCAACUCAACCAACUUCCAAACCCCAAGUUUUUCAAAUUGAUUUAACUCUUCAUGCAUUGCAUCUACCCAGCAGGGCUCAUUUAGAGCCAUUUCAACAUUCUUGGGCUCUAUUUGAGAAAUAAAGCAAGAGUAAAGACAGGUAUUGACAUCUCCACUCUGACUUCUGGUUUUAACACUGUCGCCCAGCUGACCAAUGAUGUUGUCGAUCAGAUGAUCACGUUGAAUCCUUGAGGGUAUUUCAUGGUUGAUGUCAUUAAGCGAGAUAGGAAGAUUAUGAAUAUUGACACAUCCCUCAUUUGCUGAUUGAGCUGCGUCAGAUGACACUGCCACAAACUCAUUUGAAAAGUCUUCAGGAAAGAGUAGCUCCAUAAAUGUUGAAGUAGCAGUGGAAGAGUCUUUGGACAUUAACUCUCUUUCUAUAGGAGUGAGUGGUGUUGUUUCAGCAUUAGGAGUAGUAUUCUGAACUGGAGAUUUCGGACUAUCAAGAUGUACAAAUGACUCCCCCUCUUGUGAAGCGAAGGACUCCCUCACAGGCGAAGCGAAGGACUCCCCCUCAGGCGAAGCAGGAGUCUCCCCCUCAGGUUGUGAAGAGGAUACCGUUGAAGUUCUGUAUACAACUUCUUCGUCUUCAUCUUCAAAAACAUUAUUCGAAUCGGAGAUAGAUCCAGAUGAGCUACCUGAAGACACAUUUAUAGAUUUGAACAGAGAUGUAUAAUCAAACAACCAAUUCGGACCUACUCAAGCAUCCGUCUCAUUUUCUUCCAACCAGCGCACGUCAUAGGAUUCUACAACUUGCUUUGUCUUCUUAUUAUAGACCCUAUAGGUGGUGCAAGCAGCAUACCCUAUGAGGUAACGGUUAUCGGCUUUGGCAUUGAACUUUGAGUUGGACUCUAAGUGAAGAAGGGUGCAAAGGCAGCCAAAUACACGGAAAUGAGUGACAGAAGGCUUGUGACCAUAUAGAAUCUUGUACGGAGUCUUCAUUUAAGCUUUGUUGAUCAACACGCGAUUCUGAACAUAGCAAGUAGUGUUUAUCGCCUUAGCCCAAAAGAAGACUGGAAGUUUAGAAUCACACAGCAUCGUCCUUGCGGCGUCUUUCAAAGUUCUGUUUCUCCUCUCAGCAACACCAUUUUGUUGGGGUGUGUGAGCGGAUCUAUAUUGAUGCAUAAUACCCUUUUCUGUGUAGAAGUGAUCAAGAACAAAAUUCUUAAGCUUUGUUCUGUUGUCAGUACGAAGCACCUUCACCCUGUUGUUAGUUUGGUUCUCAAUUAACACAAUGAAUUUCUUAAUCAGUUCAGCAACUCUAGCUUUAUUGGAUAGCAAGAAAAUCCAUGUAAAACGUGAGAAAUCAUCAAUCACGACUAGACAAUAGGAAUUUCUAUUAAUGCUGAGAACGUUUACUGGUCCGAACAGAUCCAUAUCUAGCAAUUGAAGCACCUGACUAAUUAAGUUGACCUAUUUUGCCAGGUGUGGUUUUCUAUGAUGCUUACCUUGGGCACAUGACACACACUUCUCAAACAUGAUGAAGUCCUUGACAGGAAAACCACGGACCAUCUCAUUCUUUGCAAGACGAUUCAAGUUCUUGGCGUUAUCAUGACCAAGUCUCCUGUGCCACAGCAUUGCAGUUUGUUCGAAAAUCUUUGAGAAGAGGCACGUAACUUGUUCUGGAAGAUUGUUAUUCAUAUCAAUGAUGUAGGCAUUCCCAUCCCUUUUAGAUUUUACAAGAAUCCACUCUUCUGGAAUGAGAAAGCUUGACUUGGUAAUCAUACAUUCCUUUUCAAUGAAAUGUGUAGAAUAGCCUUUGUCGCAUAUCUGAGACACACUCAACAAACUAUGCUUCAAUUCCGGAGCAAAGUUGACAUUUUCGAAACUCAAAACCCCAUUUGUGAUAGUUCCUCUUUGAGUGAUUUUGCCACCUUUUCCACCCACAAAGGAGAUGUAUCCCCCAUUAAAGGAUUGAAUAUCUUGUAGUUGGGUGAUAUCUCCUGUUAUAUGCUGGGAGCAGCCGUUGUCGACGAACCAGGGUCUGCGACAUUCCCCCGCAACUGUCCCUAUAAGAUGUGCGGGUUUAAUUAGAUUUGGGAACCCAAGUCAUUAUUUUCAUGGGUGGUCCCGAUGCCUUCUCAGAUUUAUUAUCAUUUACGGAUUUUUCAUAGGACACAGAUGAUAAAUUGGAAGCUAAUUUGGGUAACCAUUGAUAAUUAGGUUUUAUAACAGUCUCGGGUGGUUUUGAAAUUGAAUGUUUAUCAGUUUGCUUGAAGCAUUUGGGUUUUCUACUAGAAUUAGUUGAAGACCCACUGUUGCUUUUUGAUGAAACCGACCUUGGCUUGGCCAUGCUCGGUUUUGGCAAACUGCUUGGGACUUUGUUAUGAAAGACCUUUUUAUGUUUUUAAAAAACAGCCCGUUUUCUACUUCGAUCAUUUUUCCAAUCAUUAUUCCGAGAACGAUUUCUAGAGGACUUUCUAGUUAAAUACCUUCCUCUGAUUUCGUUCUCUCCUCUUGGAAAUUCAAAAUGUACAAACAUACGAUUUUUACAAUUUCUAGCUAUAUGACCACUAAUACCAAAAUUGAAACAAAUCUGUUUGUUAUUGUUAUAACUUGUGCUACAUUGAUCAGAUUUGUUUUCCAUACUAACACCUUUGCUUCUCUCACAAGAACAGGAACAAGAAUUAGGUUGUAAGACAAGUGAGGGUACAUUAGAUAGAGAAGCUUGUGAUACUGGUGGUUUUUUAAGAUUAUCAUCACAAACAUUAGAAUUGUCAACCAAAUUAUUCAAACUAGUAUCAGACACUUUAAAACCAUUCAAAACGGUAUCAUAAGAAACAGAAACACCACAAAAAACAUUGUCACUUGAAACAUUAGAAAAAUUAUUGUCUUUAUUUAAAACUAAAACUUCAGGUUCAGACUCAGUUUUAUUUUCAGAAACAGAUCCUUCAACUUCGUGCUUUGACUGAUUCGAGGAUUGAUCUGCAGGAGAAGUAGAAAUGUUAGUACUUUCAAGAUUAAUAAAUCCUCCCGAAACAAAACCAGAUGGCUUACCAUAAACCAUGAAUGGUUCAUUGGCAAUCUCUUCAUUGGACAGGGGUUGAAACUGAUAUGUAUGAUUGAAAGGAGGAGGCACUUGACUAUACCCUAGACCCUUUGACUGAUUUCUUUUAAAUUGCAUGCAGUGGUCUAUCAUAUUUACAACUACCUCACUUGACACAUCAAAUUUUCUAAAGUCAACAUCAGCAGUUUCAAAUUUGCCUUUAAUGAUUCAAUUUCAGCUACUAGUUCAGUGUUCUGUUUCAUUAUAUAGUCAUAAUUUUCGCAUUUAUUACUAUAGUCUUCCUAAAGUCUCCUAAAGUCCUUUAUUUUAGAUUCUAAUUGGGAUUUAAGAGGUUUUUGACCUUUUCUGAUUUGGUAACCUUCAUAUCUAAGGUCUUCUACUUCCUUUUUUAGCGAGUCGUUAAGUUCACGGAGAAUUCUAAGGUUCUCUACUUUGCUACCUAAUGUCUCAAUUUUCUCAUGCAUAAUUUUAACAUAAUCAAUACAAUCUUCAGAGCAUGAGGGUAGACUCACCUCGUUUUUAUUAGGUUCAUUGAGCAGAAGAUACCAUCAACGCAAACUGCAGCUCCAUGAUUUGAUCUUCAGCUGCAACAAUCUCUGUUAGAGCAUCAUCACUAACCUGUGCCAGGAGGGCAUUUUCAGGUCCAGAUAAUUUUAGGGCCUGCAUCUGAUCCUCCCAGUCAAACGAUUGUGCAACCCUAGCCUUCUCGUUGUUGACCUGAGCACCUCUUCGAUUUUUCCCAACUGCAACGAUUAUCCUGUCAUUAUUUAAUCUUCUGUCUGGCUAUGGACAAUCACGAGAAAAAUGCCCUGGCUCGUGGUAGUUGAAACACCGCAGCUUUUCCUUGCUGAACCCAACCUUCUUGCCAGCACUCAUCCCCCAGUUGGUCUUUCUGGUCUUCUUGGCAAACUGUUUCGCCCUGAAAACUGCCAUGGCAAUUUGCCAUGUAAUAUCCAUCUCUUCAAUGUUUUCAGGGUGAAUCUGAUCAAGAUCGGCAAAUGAUAGUUGAGGUAGAAGAUCUCCAGCUACGAGUGCAUUGUAACAAUUGACAAGGCCUGUAGCAAGAGAGAUAUUUUCAUCACCCUCUUUUCCUUUUGAAGAAGAAGCCACAUUGGAUGAGGAACCAACUUUACCAGCCACAAACCAUUGGUUCUGGUUGAGAGGCAUGGUUGAUCCAGGGGAAGCUGAUGGAGUAGGGAAGGACCGAACCUGAGCCUGCUAAAUAGAAAAUGAUUGACCUGCAGAAGAAAAGUAAGAGAUGAAAGAGAAUUGUUAGAAGAGAUUCCAAGGUUCGCAGUUGAGUAGGAGCUCACAUGGUUGAUCUCUCGCUGCUUGUCAUCAAUAUCACAGGCCUUGAUGACAACCAUCACUUCAGCAAGAGAGAGUCGGCUAAGAUCCUUAGUCUUGUUUAUGACAGCUACAUUCAUGUCCCAAGACUUUGGAAGAGCCGUCAGUAGCUUCUUGUUUAUCUCAGACUUUGUGUAGAAAAUCCCGGCUACAGUCAUUUCAAUGUUAAGAGAUGUGAACUACUGCAGCUAUGCUUCAAGAGUUUCUCCUGGAACGUAGUAGAACAUAUUGAAACUUUGUCGCAACAUAUCUUGGCGACUCUCCUUCAUAUAUUCGUUCCAUGCAUAGACCUCAAUUAGGGCUUGCCACAAAGCCUUAGCAGAAGUGUACUCCUUAAAACCUUGAGCAAUGUCUAGAGAUAGUGCUAUGGUCAAGGUGGCCGAAGCUUUUUCUUGCUCUUCAACCUUCUCGAAGUCAUCAUCAGUGUAGUUUUCCAACUUCUUGUCAACCACAUGCCCUACAACAGUAGUGGUUAUUCUGACAGGAUCUUUUAUUAUGCUUCUCCAGAUUUUGAAGUCCUUCAAUAUUUUUAUGUACUGCUCAAUUCUAUACUUCCAUUCUGGGAAACCUUCAGUGUAUAAGAGUCUAGGAAUUCGGGUGGUUGUGCCCAUAGCUGAAUCUAGCUCGUGGUGGUGUGUUUGACUUUGAGAAUCCAUUAUUAUUAUUUAAUUAAUAUGAAACAGAAAUUAAAUUAUUGACAACUAAAUUAAGUUUCUGGUCAAACACAGUCAAAACAAUAUUUGCGGCCGUAAACAGAGUUCACGGUCAGAGGAGAGUUUACGGUCGUAAACUCUGAGUUUACGGUCCUAAGGUGUUUACAGUCCAAAGUUCACUGUCCAAGAACAAUCAGUUUCUGGUUUAUGAAUACUCUUUAUUCACGGCCCAAGAACACAAUUUACGGUACAAGAACUGCGAAGAAUUUGCGGUCGUAAACUGAGAUUACGGUCGUAAGCUAAGGCCGUAAGCUCUUAAACUUGAGUGAAUUUGCAGAUUUUUUACGAAACUGAGAACCCUUUUGCAUUAAUCACCAACUUUAGUCGCAAACAGAUGAGAACCAGGACAAAAAUCGAUUAUAGAGUGCUUUUGACGCUGGUCUCACUUUGAUACCAAUUGUAAGGUCCUGAAAGGAUCUUACCAAUGAUCAAACAGCAAAUACAAUCAGUUAAUCAAAUAAGAACGAGUAGAAUAGAGAAUCAAACAAGCUUGCACAUGUUUUUAUAUUAGAAUCACGUCUGGUACAACUUGCAGUUUACUAGAGCUGAGAAUACCGAUCCAUCAACAACCACAAAAGACCUUGCAUACCUCUAUAUAUACUAUCAUGGGCCAGCCUUGGGUUUACAGCCGUAAACAGGCUUACGGCCGUAAACCCAUUACAGUGACCGUAAACUCCAAAAAAUACUAUAGGCUAUCAAAUGACCAAAAGACCUAUUACAUGGAAACCCUAAACCAAACCACUAAUUGGACCCUUCAAUUAUCCUGAGUUGUUCACGAAGGCCGACUUCGAGGACGAAGACUAGUCCAAGUGAGGGAGAAUUGUAACAUCCCGAUGUCAUGGUAAUUUCAAUUUCAACCCUAUGUUUGUAUAUUAUUGCAAAUUUGACCCUUGAGUUGAGGAAGGUUGCUAGAUUAGCCCAUUCUGGCAAUUUCAUAAUUUCAACGAAGUGGGGUAUGCUGAACGUACGUUGUGUAAACUAGGCAUACACCUCGUAUGCAGGGCAUACGUGAAGAAAUGGUAGACCGUAAUUUUUAGUGUUUAAUAUAUAUUUAAACCUCAUUAUAUCCUUAUAUCUCGUUCUUCUUCAUCCUCCCUCUGUGAAAAAAAAACGUCUUCAAGCAACCCUAAGUUAGAAGUUUCCAUUUUUAAGCCCACAGGAGAGUUUUAGAGGUGUGUUUGAAGAAGAAGAAGAUGAAGGUGGUGAGAAGAUCUUGGAGCUUGGAAGCAUUUUGGAUUUGAGAUUUCCUCCUUUCUUGCAACCUCCAGGAGGUAUAAAUCUUGCAACUUUAUCACUCCAUCUUGUAGAUCUAGACAUUUCAUUCCAUGAAGUUACUUUUGUCCCAAAAUGGUAACUCUUGAGAAUGGCAGGUUCUUGACCCAAUAAGUCGUCCUUUCAGACCUUAGGAAGGGUCUGAAGUCAUCAAAAUGUGGUCUUGAUGGUUAGUUUUGCUCCAUGCAUUUUUUAGAAUGUCUUGAUGCAUUAAGUGUUGGGUUUUGAGUAUUCUAACACUCCUAAGUGUACAUGCAACCCUAAAUACCUUGGAUCUAUGUUUUCUCUAUUAUACAUGCAAAUAUGAAUAUUCCAAGGUAUUACCUAACUAGCAUACAAUCUUUGAUAAUUGGGUAAUAAAAAUAGAUAGAAUACAUACCUUGUUUAUGUAGCUUAACUCCAUGAAGCUUGAGAGCCUAUUGCCCUAAGUGUGACACCUCAAAUGGUUCACACAACAUCACCAACACAUGGAAUAACCAUGAGAAGAAGACACUUCAUGCUCAAAUCGGCUAACCCUCACAUAUGUAUCACUAGUGCCAAUUUCUUGAGCUAAAGUAGGGGUCUUAAUAUAGUGUGGCUAUUAGGGUUGCACCAUGCAACUCAUGACAUUACCCAUUCCUUAUGCUCGAUGGGUUUCAACCUCCAUGGAGUAUCCAUGGGUCACCACAUGGGUUAAACCCAACAUAAGGAAUCUUCGAUCAUAAGCCCACAUAUAUAAGAAUGAAUGAUUUACACAAUCAAUCCCCAUAUAUUUAAUUAGUUACUUUUGAUCACUAAAUUAAGUCCAGCUUGAUUCUUGAUCAUUACUAAUUAAAUAGCAUGAUUUCAUAUUAAUAUAUUAGAACAUAUAAUAUAUUAAUAUGUCACAAAUGUCCUCUUCUCACAAACGGUCUAUCCAAAUGUUCCGAUGCCAUGCAACCAAAAUGGACCAUGCUGAGUCGGGUCAAGUACAUACCAAAUAUAGUUAUGGACUUAGACACUAAUCAAACGGUCUCCCACUUGGAUAAGUCUAAAACUAUUAUUGAGUAUGACUUCAAAACUUAACGGGAAAUCGUAGCUCUCAAAAGUCGCUGUUAAACUCUGACCUUGUCGAUGAACUCUGAACUUUGCCAAUGACUUGUCCAUUAGACAAGGGAUCACAUAUUCCUCCAUUCUAAAUGUCAUAUGGACUGAGACAUGGAUUGAAAUCAUUCUCUCUGUCUAUUUGUUGUUUCUCGAUUUCCGAUUCAUGACAACUAACUGAUUGAACAUAUCAAAUCAGUCCUGGCAUGGCCAAGCACUCACAUGUGUCACUAUUAAAUCAUCGAGGGGCCUAUAAAUAUCGCUUUUAACCCGAAGGUAAAAGGAAUACAUAAACUUCAACUCAUAUGGCUUGUUCUACUACUUGUUGAAUUAUACACAAAGGCACGUUUUAUAACAUCAAGUUACCAAUACGGUUUCGUGCAAUCAAUGUAUAACCAACUCAUAGUAACAACUCAUAUCUCUGGGUUUGAAGAAUAUAAGAUAUUAUUGUCUCAUAAUCACUCGUGAUAAAAUCCAUGAAUUGAUUCCAAUGAGCGCGGGUUGAAUCCAAUACUCGAAACUUAUGAGCACUCAUGAGUGUUGAAGCACCACUUUGUCCAACAUCUUAGACCUCUACAAGCCAACCCAUGACAGUCUUGAUUCAUAUCUACUUCCAACAUAUGACCGACUGUGCAUGGUUUGAAUAACUUAGUCAUUCAGGAAAAUCGAUAUAGGUAUUCUGGAAGUCAAAACAUGCAAAGUGAAACACAAGAAUAAUCGAAUCCAAUAUGGUCUCAGAACUUAUGAAUAUAAAUAAAACACCUUUUAUUUAUCACCAUAUUGAUUACCCAUAAUUCAUUGCAUACUAUUUCAACUAUCAACUUUAUACUUGAAUUAAAAUCAAUAGUUGUCCCAUGCUCCAAGCAUGUACACUAUGUUUUUUUUCUGAACACUAGUCAUGCCAUACACCAAGUAUGUAUACUAAGUUUGUCUAUGAUCUUUACUUUGUGAACUGUUGGAAUAGUGUCUUAGUCCAUAACUAUUUUGGUAUGUACUUGACCCGAUUAUGAGCAUGGUCCUUUUGGGUUGCCUUCACCAUAGCAAUAUGUAGGAUGAAUUAAGGAGAGAAAGUUUUAAUUAUGAUUUAUUAAUAUAUUAUGAGAAUAAUAUAUUAAAUGAGGAAUCAUAUUGUUUAAUUAAUAUUACUCAAGAAUUAAUAAAGAAAUAAUUUUGUGGCUAAAAGAGAUUAAUUAAACUUAGGGGACUGGAAUUGUAAUUAUAAGAUAAUUGCAAUUGGGCUAUGGAUCACCUUGGAAUAAUAGGUUGGACAAAUUCUAUCGGGAAGCCCCUUAGAAAUCGUCCAAAGCAUGUUCCAGAAGGGGUCCAUGGGCUGCUUAGGGCUUAAGCAGUCACAUUAGGGUUUCCUUGUUAGAUAAGCCUAAUUGCCUACCUAUUUAAGGAGCCCCUAAGCCCCAAAAAUGUGGUGAAUGAUUCCCCUCUCUUCUCUCUUCAUACAAGUUGCUUAGUGGUGUUUGUGACUCUAUUAGAGGUGCAACACUUGAGGCACUAAGCUUUCUGAAGCCAAGGAAUUGAUUGUUAUUGCUACAUAACAAUCAAGGUAAGAUCUAAACCCUAAUUCAUAUGUUAAUUUGAUUACUAGUAUGCUAGAUCUAGGGUUUGCAAGUCGUGGAAGUUUAUUGCAUGUUCAAAGUAGAAAAACUAGAUUCAAGCAAUUAGGGUUACAUGAACACCAUAGGAUUGAUGUUAUGCACAAAUCCCAUCAGUGGUAUCAGAGACUGGUUGUUUUUCUAUUGAAUAGAUGCAUAAUUGAACUGUCAUAGAUCAGAAAAAUCGAAAGUUUUGCUGUCUGGAGCAUGAACUCGUCGAGUUCUAGACCCAACUCGACGAGUUUGCUUGUUACUUGCCGGGAUUUUCGAUUUUUUGAGCAGAUUUUGUUAAGGAUAAUUACCAAAACUCGUUUUUAUUGCCUAAAAUCGAUUUUUCAUGUUUUGAAUGUUUAUCCUUAUCAAAAUUGAUGGAUUUGGUUAAAUAUGGAUAAUAUAGGAUUAUUAUUAGACAAAUAUUUGACCUAGUAAGUUUGAAAAGUUUCAAUUUACACCCUUUAGGUUUCAUAGUUUAAAUUUCAACUUAAAAGUUUUUGUUUUUGAAAUUUAAAUAGUUAAACCCUAAUGUUUUGAAAAGUUUCAAAACUUGCCCUCAAGUUUUGGAAUUUAAAAUUUGAUUAAAAGUUUAAUUUUGAAAUGUUAAAUUCUAAAACCUAAGUAUUUUGAAAAGUUCAAAUUACACCCUUAUGUGAGUUUUGCAAGUGUGAGUUCUAGUUAUGUGAGGUGCAGUUUCUGGGGCACGUUGUCAACCAGAACAGUAUUCUAGUCGAUCCGUCCAAAUUCGAGGCCAUGAUGAGAUGGGAGGUUCUGAGGUAUCCAUCUGAGAUUCGGAGUUUCCUUGGGUUGGCAGGCUACUACCGGAGGUUCAUUCAAGAUUUUUCCAAGAUAAAAGUUCCUCUAACAUGAUUGACGAAAAAGAAUGUCACUUUUUGAUGGGGGCCUGAGCAGCAAACAACUUUUGAGACCCUGAGACAUAGAUUGUAUGAGGCACCGCUUCUGACUCUGCUUGAGCCUGUUGAGGAUUUUGUCAUUUAUUGUGAUGCUUUGAUCACACGUUUGGGUGUAAUUCUGAUGCAGAGGGGUCGCGUGAUUGCUUACACUUCAAGGAAGCCAAAGCCUCAUGAGGCAAAUUACCCUACGCAUGAUUUGGAGUUGGGGCAGUGGUGUUCGCCCUCAUUAUUUGGCGACAUUACCUCUAUGGAGUCUGCUAUACAAUUUAUACAGAUCACAAGAGCCUGAGAUAUUUGAUGGAUUGGAUGAAUAUGAACAUGAGGCAGCGUCGGUGGUUGGAUGUGGUGAAGGAUUACGAUUGUGACAUCCUUUACUAUCCUGGGACGGCCAAUGUGGUGGCCGAUGCUCUCAGCCGCAUGGUAGUCACGGCUCCGAUCAAAGAUAUUUGUUUGAGGAUGACAGUGAUUACUCCACACUUGGAGCAGAUUUGAAAGGCUCAAGUUGAAGCUAUAAAGGAAGAGCACCGAAAAAGUGAUCGCAUGGUGGGUCAGGUGGCUUCCUUCGAUUAUGAUAGUCGGAGUUAUUGACUCUCUAUUGGAGGGUGUGGGUUCCUUAUUGGGGUGGUGUGCAUCAGGUUUUGAUGGAGGAGGUGUACAAGUCAAAUUUAUCCAUUCAUCCCGGGGCAACAAAGAUGUAUAGAGACCUCGGUCUUGUAUACUUGUGGCCAUGUACGAAGCGGGAUGUAGAUUGGUAUGUAGAGAGGUGCUUGACUUGCAGGAAAGUCAAGGCUGAUCAUCAGCGACCUCACGGAAACAUGCAAUCCUUUGGGCAUUCCCGUUUGGAAAUAGUAAGUCAUUACCAUGGAUUUCAUUAUGAAGUUUCCUCGGACAGCAUAGAGUGGAUUCGAUUUGGGUCAUCGUUGGUCGGUUGACCUUCGCCUACGCAUGGAUUUGGGCAUUCCCGUUUGGAAAUAGGAAGACAUUACCAUAGAUCUCAAAAAAGGUUUCACAUCAAAGUGUUCCUAGAAAUCAUAACAUAAAACACGAGGAGGUGCACGAUCAAGCCUUCGCCUACGCACGAUCGUCUGAGGUACCUAAAACAUAAUCAGAAACUAUAAGCCCAAAGCUUGUUGAGUCUUCCCCUAAAUACCACCACAAUACAUAAUCAAAACUAUCACACAACAGCAUGCAUACAGAACCUUCAGCAUGUCUAGAUCGCCACACCGGGCCUUCAGCCUGUCUGGAUCGUUCUCUAGGCCUUCGGCCAGACUGGUCUGCCUCGCGGGCCUUCUGUCUAUCCGGGCCGCCCUGGGUCUGUUGGUCUUCAGCACAAAGCAGGACCGCCUCAACCCAACCAUAUACAUGUCGACAUAUACAUAACUCAUAAACACAUAAUCAAUCAACAGACAAGCACAGAUCAUACAUCUCAGUAACCAUAGCAUCAUCCUAUCUAACAGGAUUCAGAUCUAACAGAUCACUACAGUAGUCAAUCAUACGAAAAUCAGGAUAACAAUCCAAAGGGUCAGCCUCAAUUCCUUCGACACGUAAGUAUAGUGAGGAAAAUCACCUCACAAGUAGUGCAAAACUGAUAAGGUCUGACUCUGAAUCUCACCUCCUGACUCAAUCCCUAUAAACAUCAUGACCAACCCAUCAAAUUUUCGAAAUACCCAAAAUGCCCUCAAAAGUCCAACUUGGUCAACCAUAGUCAAAGUGAAAGUCAAUGCUCCAUGUUGACCCAACUCAUCGAGUACACUUAUGAACUCGUCCAGUUCUACAGCACUCAGAAAGUCGGGGAAAACCCUAGCCAACUCAUCGAGUUUUCCCCAUCUUAACACAUUCAGGUGAUUCUUCAAUUCCAGGGACUCUAAGGCUAAUAUUUGAACUCCAAAUGUGUCUGAAAGAAUAAAGUUUCCAAAUUUAUCCUUUGGACGCUACUCCAAAUGCUCAAAAUCCCUUCCACAAGGCUUCAAAACUCAAAGGCUUAACCAUUAAGCACAAAAUCCUUGAGAUUUGCAACCUAAAUUUUCUAGAAGAGAUUCUACCCUCAAAAACAUCCCAAAGGUUGAGGCUUUAUAGACAUGCAUGUCUUGAACCCAAAAUGAGUCCAAAAAAGGAAAAUAUGACCUAAACUCCAUGCAUGGCGUCAAAGCUUGCCAAAAGAUCAGAUCUAACCCACUAUAAGGCCACCUUGACCUGAAGAUUCAUAAAUUUGCAAACUUCAUGAAGUCCAUCCAUUGCAACAUCCAAGAAUAAGGAGAAAAAAGGGACCAAACUCAAGAUCUAGCUAUAUAGAUAGAUAAAAAUCGAAUCUUGAAUACCUACAAUGGUCCAAAAGAGUGACAACCUAAAGAUGAGAGCUUAGCUUGCUAGAUCCUUGCCUCCUUCUCUCAGUAUUCUCCUUCUUUUGCUCCAAAAUGCCACACUAACUCACAAUAUGAUAUGGAAUGAAAAUUAGGGUUCACAAAGUCGAUAAUAGGGUUUGGAGGCAGAUAAAAUGAUCGGCCUCAAGGACAUAAGGAGGUUAUAUAUGGUGCAAACCCUAAAAUUUAGGGCUUCUAAUCCAGCCGCCAACUCGUCGAGUUUUCCUCACCAACUCGUCGAGUUUGUCCAAAAAGAUGCACGGCCCAAAAGCUUCCAACACGUCGAUUUGAGGCCAUCAACUUGCCGACUUCCAAGGGAAACUUGCUUUAUAAAGAAUUAAUCUCAUACCUGGAAACUAGGAUGUUACAAGUCUCCCUUACUUGAACUAAGCUUCGUCCUCAAGGCUUGUUGCGGUGAAUAAAUCCGGAUAAUACUCCUGCAUCUCAACCUCCGGCUCCCAGGGCCACUCAGAUCCCCUCCGAUGCUGCCACUGUACCUUUACCAAAGGUACGUCGUUGCCACACAGAACCUUUACCUUCCUUUUCAGAAUAGCUAUCGGCCGUUCGACAUAGUUCAGGCGCUCAUCAACCUGAAUAUAUUCCAAUGAUACUACUGCAUACUCGUCCAAUACGCACUUUUCGUAGCUUCGAAACAUGGAAAGUUUUAUGAAUCUGACUGAGCUCUUCCAGAAGAUCCAAUCUAUAGGCAACCUUGCCAACCCUGGAAACAAUCCAAAAUGGUCCAAUCUAUCAGGGGCCCAACUUACCCUUCUUCUUGAAGCGAAUCACACCUUUCCAAGGUGAGACCUUCAGCAACACCGUGUCACUGACCUAAAACUCCAACUCAGAUUGGCGCCGAUCGACAUAGCUCUUCUUCCGGCUCUGAGCAGUCUGCAAUCUCUGCCUGAUCCGUUUAAUCAUCUUUGAAGUCUGUAGAACCACCUUCGUCUGACCCAUGACUCUGUGACCAACCUCGCCCCAACAGACUGGGGUGAGACAUCUCCUCCCAUAAAAGAGCUCAAAAGGCGGAACACCAACGCUAGAAUGGAAGAUGUUGUUGUAGGAGAACUCUGCAAGAGGUAGGUAGGAGUCACAUCUCCCAACAAAAUCAAUAACACAUGCUCGCAACAUAUCCUCGAGAGACUGAAUGGUCCGCUCACUCUGGACUUCAGUCUACGGAUGAUAAGUUGUGUUGAAAUGCAGUCUCAUGCCCUGUUCCUCAUGAAACUUUUUCCAAAAUCGAGAGGUAAACUAAACAUCACGGUCUGAAACAAUAGAGACCGAAACCCCAUGGCGAGCAAUGAUCUCACGAAUAUACACAUUGGCCAACUUCUCGGCCGACGAGUUCUCCCGAAUUGACAAAAAGUGGGCACUCGUGGUCAAUUGGUCCACGAUGACCCAAAUAGCAUCAAAACCCUUUGUCAUCUUUGGCAACUUGGUUAUGGAAUCCAUCGAAAUCUGCUCCCAUUUCCACAUGGAAACCUCCAGAGGUUGCAGCUUGCCAUGCGACCUCUGAUGCUUGGCCUUGAGUAUCCUGCAGAUCAAGCACCUCUCAACAUACCAGACGAUCUCCCUCUUCAUGCACAACCACCAAUAACUCAACCUCAGAUCCCAAUACAUCUUGGUGCCCCCCUGAUGGAUAGAGAAGCGAGACUUAUAAGCCUCCUCUAGCACAAGCUGUCUGACCCCACCACACACAAGAACCCAUACCCGACCGCAACGAGUCAAAAAACCAUGACUGUCCAGAACAAAUCUGGUAAUCUUACCCUUGAUCCUCUCAAUCUUCCAAUUCUCCUAUCGAACACGCUCAGUCUGAGCGUCCCUAAUCAAACUCACAAGUGGAGAUUCCACGAAUAUCCUCAUACAUGUCACUGGAACGGAAGAUCCAACCGACUUGCUGUUCAGGGCAUCCACCACCACAUUCGCUUUACUCAAAUGCUAAAGGAUCUCGCAGUCAUAAUCCUUGACUACGUCCAACCACCUGUAGUGCCUCAUGUUCAGGUUCGGCUGAUCCAUAAUAUGUCUCAAAAUCUUGUGAUUCGUGUAGAUAGUACACCGGACCCAAUAAAGGUAAUGCCUAUAAAUCUUGAGGGCGAAAACCACCGCCCCUAACUCAAGAUCAUGCGUAGGAUAUCUCGUCUCAUGCGGCUUCAGCUGCUGCGAAGAAUAAGCUAUCAACUGUCCUUUCUGCAUGAGGACUGCCCCCAACCCGGUGAUGGACGCAUCACCGAGAACUAGAUGAUCCUCGACUCCCUCAGGGAGGAUCAAAAUUGGGGCCUCGCAAAGUCUCUGCCAAAGGGUCUCAAAUGUUGAUUGGUGCUCAGGGCCCCACCAGAAAUCCACUCCUUUCCUCUUCAGACGAGUGAGGGGUACCAACUGUUGGAUUAGUUUCUAAGUCCAUAACUAUCUUGGUAUGUACUUGACCCGAUUUUGCAUGGUCCUUUUGGGUUGCCGUCACCAAAGCAACUUGAUAGGAUGAAUUAUGAAGAGAAAUGAUUAAUUAUGAUUUAUUAAUAUAUUAUGAGAAUAAUAUAUUAAAGGGGAAACCCAUUAGAAAUCGUCCAAGGGAUAUCCUAAAAGGGUCCAUGGGCUGCUUAGGGCUUAAGCAGUCAAAUUAGGGUUUCCUAGUUGAAAAACCUAAUAGCAUACAUGUAUAUAUAGUACCCUUAAACCUCAAAAACGUGGCUAAGAGUUCCACUAGGGUUUUUGGACAUUUUAGGCAGCCUCCUCUCUCCUUAUUCUUCAUCCUCUUGCUCUUGGUGUUUAUGAGCCAUUAGAGGAGUGACACUUGUGACUCUAAGCUUUCUAAAGCCAUUACAAGGAGGAUUUGAGAUUGUUAUUGCAACAUAAUAAUCAAGGUAAGAUCUAAACCCCAUUCAUAUGUUAAUAUGAUUAAUAGUAUGCUAGAUCUAGGGUUUAAAGUCUUUGAUGAAUUGCAUGUACAAUAGAGAAACCUAGAUCCAAGCAUUAGGGUUUGCAUGAGCACGUAGGAUAUUCUUAUGGCUAAAACCCAUCAGUGGUAUCAGAGACUUGAUUGGUUUCUAUUGUAUUGAUUCCUUGGUCAUUUGUUCAAGCUUGAAAAUCAAUUUUUUGGCCCCCUGACUGAUGAACUCGAUGAGUUCCAAUGAGGACUCGGCGAGUAGCUCCAACUCGGCGAGUCCAUAGAGGAACUCGGCGAGUUCGAGCAUCAGUUAGAGCAGAUUUCGGGAUUUUUGCCUAUUUUGACUUAGGAUAAUUGCCAUAAUUGUUUAUAAUUAAUAAAAUACAAAUUUUAUUGAUUCCUUGUUUGAUAAAUGUUAAAUUAUUUGAAUUAUUUGAUCAUUAUCUUGCAAGAAUUUGAACUACAUCUAAUUAGAUAACCAUCAAUUAAUUGUUAAUUGUCUUAUUUGAAUUUUGUGAUCUAGAAUGUUCUUGAUAAAGUUUGGAAAAGUUUCAAAUUAAUCCCUUUAGGUUUUAUAGUUUAAAUUUGAACUUAAAAGUUUUGUUUUUGAAAUUUAAAUAAGUUCAACCCAAAUGUUUUGAAAUGUUUCAAAACUUGCCCUCAAGUUUUGGAAUUUAAAAGUUGAUUAAAAGUUUAAUUUAGAAAUGUUAAAUUCUAAAACCCUAGUAUUGUUUUGAAAAGUUCAAUUCACACACUUAUGGUUUUAUUAAUUAUUUAAAGUGUAUAAUUAAAAGAGAUUUAAUAAAUCCAUAAAGUUUUGGUUUACAAUUUAAUUAAAUUAAAAGUAUAAUUAUUAAAUUUGACCACCUAGUAUUUUAAAAGUGUAAAAUACACCCUAUACUAUAUAUAACAUUAAAAGUCUAGUAUUAUAUAUAUGUAUUAGUUAACAGUCAGUCUUACCAUUAGUAGGCCUCAUUCAUGAAACUGGUCUAUAAGGGGUGUUUAAGGAAAUUGUCUAUAAAAUGGCGAUUGAAUGGGUGUCCACUCUUACCCACCGCACUCUUGACUAGUGGAGGGUCGUUAGGCAAAUGGGUAGGAUAGGACAGAAACCUUCCAUCAUAAGUAUAAUGAAGUACAAAAGUAACUAAAUGUUUUUUACAAAUUCCCAAUCUUAGUUACUUUAGGCAAAAGUGAAUUGAUGCAAUUCCAUGAAAUUACACUUUGUACCCUUGCGAAGACGUUAGUGG
rnacentral:lncRNA from 1 species